rnacentral:lncRNA from 1 species
AAUAGAGAUAAUUAGUACAAAAGUUUGCACAUACUAUAACAUAGUCACAAAUAAAAGGAGUUGCAUUUUUAAAACGGGUUGCUUUGUCUCAUACAUCAAAUCAAGAUAAAUAAUUGUGCAUGGAUAGAGACAAACACAACUUUCACUCAAUCCUUCGAUAAGAUGUAUUCUUUCCCAACUAUCCAAAUGUUAGUUAAUUUGUGACCACUACUCAUCCUCGCAAUCAAGAAUUUAUUCUAUUACAUGUCUAAGAAAAAAUGUUAUUAAAUGGACAGCAAAAGAACCACAACUACAUCAUUUCGAAGCAAUGUACAUAACAAAUGGACUUAUGUACCAAGCUUGGCCGACCAUGCAUGUAUGUUAUGCAAAAUAUUGCACAAUAUGCAAAAAUGUGGUUGCAUGUGUGGAAAUUUAACCACAUAGGUAUAAUAAGUGCAAUUUUACUAAGUUGGACGAACAUGCCCCAUAAGCUAUCUAGAUGUAAGGGGAUGCUGAGAUGGGCGAUAGGAGAAUGCAAAAUGGAAGCUGAUGCCAAGUAGUUGUCGAUGUAGAGUUUAUGUCAACUUAGGAGUGCUUACAAGUUCCAAAGAUGAACCAACAUAAUUUUAGUUCUAAACAUGCACUGAUGUUGAAAGAAACAUGUGAGAUGAAAAGCUGAUGCCAAGUAGUUGUCGUGUAGAGUUUAUGUCAACUUAGGAGUGCUUACAAGUUCCAAAGAUGAACCAACAUAAUUUUAGUUCUAAACAUGCACUGAUGUUGAAAGAAACAUGUGAGAUGAAAAGCUGAUGCCAAGUAGUUGUCGAUGUAAAGUUUAUGUCAACUUAGGAGUGCUUACAAGUUCCAAAGAUGAACCAACAUAAUUUUAGUUCUAAACAUGCACUGAUGUUGAAAGAAACAUGUGAGAUGAAGUGCCUCGAGAUGCUGUAAAUGCAGUGGGAUCUCAAUCAAAUGCAUGAUUUUUUGGGAAAAAAGCUUCUUACAAUAAGAUCACUGAAAAACAUCGAUCAUAAUAUUAUCACCAUCAUUAUUUUCCCCAUUUGUGGAAUGUGAGAGUUGAUUGUGAGAAUUUUUUUAUCUUUGUAUCAUGUGACUGAGAUGCUGGAACAACUUUAACCAUCUUUCAAAUACAACUCAAAGAUCAGAAAAUACAAACUGUUGAUGAAGAAAUCUGGUCGGCUAUUGCGUGAAUAGGUGCCCACACCAACACUUAAAUUGUUAUUGAGGAGAUGAUUUAACACUACAACUUUACUGAAUUAGUAGUUGUAGGCAAAUUAACAUGCAUGAAAACCAUGUGCGAACAGGGUGGAUAAAAAAGCCCAUCUGGCCCAAGCCCGCAAGCUUUCGGCCAAUCUUUCUAUGCGAGGAAUUAGAUAAGAGCUUAAGAGAAAAUGCUCGGACUAGGCCCAGCACUCUAUUUUUUUUUUACAAAAUAAAUUUAUAAUUAGAACAAUAUAUUAAAAUUUAAAAAUAAAAAAAAAACUUAAAUUCUUAAUUCAUAAAUCAAUAAUGAUUCACAAAACCUAAAAUUAUAAUAUUAAUCUCUCUCUAAAGCAGUAAUUAAUUAAGAUGAUGUUUAAAUUAGAAAAUAUAGUAUUAAAAAAAUUAAAUCUUUAGCAUUUAUUUGCUUAAUUUUCUUCAUAUAUUAUUUUAUUUUAAAAUAUUUAAUUUUUUUAAUUCAUUGUUAAUUAUAACAACUUGUUAAUUAUAACAACUUGUUAAUUAUUAAUUCAUUUCAAAUUUACAACAAUUAAAAAAAUAAAAAAUAAGUGAAACUCCAAGCAUAGUCCUCAUGCUUCUACUAAAAUGGGCUUGGGCUCGGAAAAGCUCGGCCUAAGCCCACAUUUUGUCAUCCCUAUGUUCAUAUUAGGUAGGAUUCUCAACUUCAAAUUAUUAAUAUUAGGGGCUGCAAAAUGAAUAAACGAAUCGAAUUUGAAUCAACUUAAUAAACGAAUUGGGUCAAAUUUUGAUGGAUUCGAAUUUGAUUUAUUUAAUAAGUAAAUCGUAAUUUUAUAAUUUUAAUUCAAUUUAUUUAUUAAAUGAAUCAAAUAUUCAUUCACAAUUCAUUUAAUUCAUUUAUGUAGAAUAAUUAUUUUUGUCUUGUUAUUACAUCUUAUAAUUACGAAUAAAAAUUUAAUGGUAAAUAAAUAAUUGAAUCAAACGGAUAAUAAAUGAAUAGUGUCAUAUUCGAUUGAUUUAUAGCAGUUUAUUAAAAGAAAGAAUAAAUCAGGGAUCACAAAUUUAGAUUCGAUUCGUUUAUUUAGUAAAUUGAAUCAAAUUUAUUUAUUUAUUAAAUGAAUUAAUAUUUUCAAACUCAAAUCUAAUUUAAUUUGACUCCAGUUGGAUUGAAUCGAAUAAAUAAAUUUUCGUCUAAAUUGCCACCCCAUAUUAAUAUGCCUACAAUACCAAGUGGACGGAAGAUGUCAUAAAAAUCUUUAUGGACUCUUAAAGCAUUUGCUAUCGGCUGACGCUGUUAAACACAUAAGAAAUUCAAGAAAAUUAAUUAAACAUGGCUUCAUAUCAUUCUACUAAUCAGCCAGACCCAGCUGGAACUGAUCACCCAUCAGCCAAUUGGUGAUGGGUACUAACAAGCUUUAAUUGCAAGCAGUGAUUGAGCGACUUCCGGCAUUUCAAUUGUGAUGCCAAUCUGGAACUUGGUUGGAUCUCGCUCGUGUCUUUGACCAAAAGCAAAGGGCUCGUGGACAUUAAACAAAAAGAAUUGUUUUUUCAGACCUUAUCAGGCCAUUUACUUCGUUGUGUUGAAGGCUUUGUUUCAAAGCCAGAGACAAAAUCAAUAUAUAUAUAUAUUGUUAGGUACAGAUAUUCGUAUUUUUUAAAUAUGAAUUUAUUAUACAAUAUAGUAAAUUCUUAUUUAAAAUAUGAGAACAUUCGCACUAAAAUAUAUAUAUAUAUAUAUAUAGAGAGAGAGAGAGAGAGUCUCCUUCUUUUCUAGCGAAAACAUUUUCACUUUAUUAAAAAUUAAAAUGUCACUAAAAUAUAAAAAUAUAGAUUUAAUACAUUAAAAAGUUUAUUUUUUUCUUUUAGUAUAUUAAAAUUUAUGUUUUUUAUUUUUAUUUUUUAUUGAUAUCCACACCUUAAUAAAGUGAGGAUGUCGGCCUUACUAUAUAUAUAUACUAGGAAAUAAAACCGCGCUUCGCGCGACUUUAGAAAAUGAAUUUAGUAUUAUCAAUUUUUCUUUCUUUACACUUGAUAAAACUGAUAAAAAAUAUAAAUUAUUAUUUUUUAAAUAAGGCAGCCUUAUAAAACUAAUGUUAUUUAUGAAAGUUAACUAUUUUUUUGUUAACUUUAAAAAUAAAUAUUAACGUGUAUAGUCUAAGUGUACAGACCUUAUACCUUUUGUAGUUGAUAAGUUCCAAAUUAAAUUUUGUAAUUGAGGAUCCUUAGCGUUGAAUUAUAAAAGAAAUAAGUAAAAUACAUGUAAAGACUUUUGUAAGUUAUUUCGCAUCGUUUGUAGCUGCGUAGGUGAGUAGUUGUUUAUAUCAAGCUUGCAGCUAUGACAAGUUCCAAUGGGGAUCAGCAACACCUAGUGCCAAAAUGUUCUUUAUCUGUAUAUAAACCAUGUCUCCAUGGAUUAGAGAGAAUGAAAAGAAUGCUUCUUCACGUACUAUGUUCUUUGGCAAUUAAAUCCUCCAUAACAGCUUGGAAAACUCAACCAAACUAUCAUUUUGCUGUCUCGAUAGUUCCUUUGAUUUAUCCAUUUGUCUACUAAAUAAUUAAAACACAUAAUAAAAAUCAUUAUUAUAGGGUGAAGUAAGAGCUUGCAAUGUAUAAAUUAAAUUUUAAAAUAUAAUCUAAAAAUAAGAUACCUUGAUUUUGUGAGCUGAUGUGUGAAUAUUUUGAAAUACUUCUUUGUAGACAAUGUUUUUUAUGAAGGUUCGGUCUUCUACCUCUUGAUCGGCAUUUAGUAUGGUCAAUCCUUCUCUUGUGGUAACUCGAGACAGGGCGACAUAUAAUUGACCAUGAGUGAAUACUUGCUUAGGGAGAUACAAGCCAACAUGUUUAAGAGAUUGUCCUUGGCUUUUGUUGAUCGUCAUGGCAAAACAUGGUGCCAAAGGAAGUUGUCGUCUGUUAAGCUUGAAUGGUCAUCUUGAUUCAUUCGGAGACAUAAUAAUUCUUGGGAUUGUGACAUUUUGUCCAAUAUUUGUUCUAGAAAUGAUGUCACCUCUAAUGGACCAUUUACCAAGACAAGUGACAAUCAAUCUUUUGCCGUUGCAUAUGCCUUCUAUUUGAUUUAGAUUUCUAAGAAGCAUUACGGGAGCACCUUCCUUAAAUCGUAUGUCAUGAUUAGGGAUGCCAUUGAAUUUCAAACUAUUCAAAAAUUCAGUUGGAUACAGAACAUCUUCAUCAUUUGUGUUUGCGCUUGCUUUGCAUAUACUGUCUGAGCUAAAAAGGUUCUCCCUUGACCAGGUAUUAUAUUCAUAAUCAUCUCAUUCAAUUCAUGCACCAUUUCAUUUUUUGGCGUUAAUAUUGCUCUUUCUUUCAAAUAUGCUAGAUCACUGUAGUUAUGCCGAAUUGAUGGGUAAAUAGUGUCGACUAUUGAUUUCAUCAGAUUUUCUGAUGGUUUUUUACAGAUAUCAGAAGGUAGUUUAACUAAAUCUCUAUCAAUGUCAUCAUAUAAUGAACCAUCUCCAAUCUGCAACAACCAUUUGUCAAAAGAAGCUAUUUUAGCAGCCUCAGAGCCACUUACGCUUCCAUUAUAGAGCCUCAUAUUUUGUUUGAGCUUAUAAAUUUUAAAAAAUGGCCAUAAGUAGGAUGAGUUAAGUGAAGCAUCAACAAUGUCUGCUCUUGUCCCCUUUGGCACAACUGGCAAUAUUUGUCAGAAAUCGCCACCACAUACUAUUGUAAGUCCUCUAAAAGGUUUGAUAGAACUAUUUUCAUACCUUGUUCUUAGAAUAUCUCUCAAGGUUCUAUCCAAAGCUUCAAAGCAUAACUUAUGUGCGAUAGGCGCUUCAUCCCAAAUGAUCAAAGAAGUUUUCAUAAGAAGUCCAGCUAAUAAGGUGCCUUGUCGGAUUUCACAAGUGGACUCUUCUGUCACAUCUAAAGGAAUAUGAAAUCACGAAUGAGUUGUCCUACCAUUAGGCAAUAACAAAGUUGUUAUACCUGAAGUUGCAACAGGCAAGACUAUUUUAGAAUGUGAUAUGAGCUUUGCAAUAAUUGUAUUCCACAAAAAUGUUUUACCAAUACCACCGUGUCCAUUGAUAAAAAAUAAAUGCCCUUUUUCAUUCUCAACAGAAUGCAUUAUUGCUUCAUAGGCUGAUUUUUGGCAAGCAUUUAGAGCAGCAAACGAUUUCUCAUGCAACUUCUUUAAUUGAUCACGAUCAUAAUCAAGCUCUUCAUUGACCAAUCGGUUACCUGAAUCUCUUAUCAAAGAAGAAUUAGGAAGUGGCAUUCCAUCUAUGUCUCUCAAACUUUUUCCCAUUUUCAACAUGAUAGUUUCAAUCUCCAACAAUGUGUAUGCUUCAACUUGUUGCUCGGUUAACUGAAGAUCUUUCAAUCUGAAUCUUUUCCUUUGCAAUGAAGUUAUGUCUUCUGAUAAAGUAGUAUAAUUAGAUUUCCAAAGUUGGGAUGCAUCAGAAACCUGACAAUGAAUGAGUAUCGUGACAAAAAGAUGUCUUAAUUCAUUUCCAGUCGCCUAUAUUGCAGCUUCAGUCAAGCAGUCGAUCCAUUCUUUAUCAUCUUCUAAUAAUCCCAAAGCAUAGCACGCAGCUUUAAAAGUUGGAUAUGUCACUCCAUUUACUGUUCUAAUACUUUCAAAUGAAGUGCUUCCUUUUACAAAAUUGAGCAACAUUCUCAUAUAAAAUCGUUCUCCACUUGAGGGAUGUGCAAAGUAAAUUCUUCUGAUUGCUAAGCCAUUUUUUCUCCUAGUCCAAGUUUUGUCUUUUGAAUUCCAUACCCAACAUGUAGGGAAAUCAGAAUAAGUUAACUCUCGUACAUCAUCAUAUAUCUUGUUUGCUUCCAACCAUUCUGUGAACUUUGUUUUUUCUAUUCCAGGUAUGGUAAGCACAUUUUGUAAGCACUUGGAUUCUUUGAAUAUUACUGUAUGCUCUCCCAGUAAAUGGAAUGGUAAUCUUUCAACUGCCGGCUUUCUGUAAUGUAUGUCAAAUUGGAAGAUUCGCCAGCAAGCUUCGGUUGCUGAUAUAUAUCUAUAGUCCAAAUAUGUUUUGAUCUCGUCCAUUUCUUGGGUAGUGUCAAUAGAUUCCAUUGUUGCAGUUGUUCUAUCAGACCCUUUAUGGACAUACUUGAAAAGAUAUUUAACUGAUCUCGAGUAAUUACAAAUCUCAAUAUUAAUAUGUGCAUCAAAUUUGACAAUUAAAUUCCUGUGAUAAGGGACCACAUAUCGAUUAUCCAAGAAGACACCUUUCUUUUCGACAUGAAUACCUGUAUUUCUCCUUUUAUAGACUAUAAAGCCAUUUGUAUCCACUGUUGUCUGAUCAUUAAAUUUUUUUGGAAAAUGUUUUGUGCACUUGUCUUGCAUCAUGCAUGGAGAGUGAGAAUUGUGUUUUCCACACGGUCCAUGAAUCAUAAAUUUGUUAACUGCAUUAUAACCAUCAGAAUCAACAUUUAAGUCAGGGAUUUUUGCACUUAUUAUUUUAUCAAUAUAGUCUGCAGAAGGAUUUUUCAUUGUUGGAUGCAAAAAAAGUAGUAUGUGUGCAUGGGGCAAGCCUCUUUUUUGAAACUCAAUUGUAUAUAGACCUGCCACAACAUGGGGUAAAAUUUAAAAGUUAGAAAUAUUGAUUUCAAUUGUGAAAUUAUUGUUCUUCCCUGCACUUUUCAAUAACAAAUGAGUUGAAUUUGUUAUGGAUAUGAAUUUGAAGUGAACUUACAUGCAAUUAUUUUUCCAAACGGUUGAUCCUUUUUCAGAUCUUGCAUUAGUUGGAAUAAUUUUAUCUCGAAAACUCUGCAUAUGAUAUCGACUUGAUUGUCAUCAUUCUUUUGUCCAACUAAUCGGAGCAUGUUAUUUAUUUCUUGCCACUUUGGGUUGCAAGUGAAAGUAAAAAAUAAAUCAGGAUAUCCUGCCCAUUUACAAAUUGCCAUAGUAUCUUGAUAAUUUUGUAUUCUAUAUCGUGGUCCCCCCGUGUGUGAUGAAGGUAGAAUAAUCAAUUUUCCAACUUUCGAACAAUCAAAAUCACCUCGAUGAACAGCAUCCAUCAAACCAGAGAAAAGGUUUGAUCUAAGUUUUUGUUGAUUAUUCUGGAUCCAACGAAAUCUUUCUUCUUCAAUUGCCAUGUAACAAUCAAUUAUAUAUUGUUGGAAUAGUCUACCAGCUUGAAGUAGAGUGUGUCCUUAAUUUAAUCUUUGUUGCAACCUAAAGCAAUAAUAUUGCCUCAUUGUCAGCUUUUGCCUCUUAAAAGGGCUAUCAGUUACGUCUCUUAAAGAUAUGUCAGGUCUAUAUCCAUCUUCGCCAUAAGGAUAUAUUAACGGGUAUGUCAUGGGCAUGAAACUUGGAUGCAAAUCUGUGAUUCUUCGAAGUCCCUUUGUACGAUGCUCUAUAAUAACAUCGCGUUGAAAGUUCGCUUCACUGAAAUCACCAACUAUUAAGCCUGUAACUUAUGAAACUAUUGGCAUAUUAUAUCGACGGCCAUCUCUUGCUCUACUAUUAAGGAGUCGUAAACGGAAUGUAGAUUCUGGUUGUGUUUUGUAUCUAUCCCUUGCCAUUCUAAAAGAUUUGACCAAAUUAUUAUGUUGGUCCAACAUUUUAGAUAGUUCAUGAAGAAUUUCGUGAUCAAUUUCUGUCUUCAUUCCAUGUUUUAAUAGAGUGUUGAUUCUGUUGUCUGUCUCAUUUUCAGUAUCAUAGAUAUAAAGCUGAGCAAACUGUGGUUUUUUCCCAACUUUUGGCAACAAAGAACCAAUGUGAUGAUAAUUCUGACCGCUCAUCCUGAAAACAUAAGGACCUUUUGAUCGAUUGAUUGAUGCAUCAACUCAACCUCCCAUAGAUGUGAAAGCAAACAUGGAGUUAAAAGCCCUGAUAUUUUUUUGAAAUUUGGAACCCUUUUGUCCAGAAUCCGCCUCGAGAAGAUAUUUGAGUAAAGGAGGUGUUUCUUUCAUGAAUGGAAUCUGUACACGACCUUCCAUACAACAAAAUGUGAAUUUGGGAUGUGAGAUGAUGAGCAUAUAAUACAUACAUAUUUUACCAUUAAUUAAAUAAUUGCUAGUUAUAUUUAUUUUUUAUUUUUAAUUAAUUGAAUUAUUUUAUUGAAUAGGAAAUUAAUUGGAGAUUAUGGAUAAAAAGAGCAUAAAGGAGUUUAAUUUAUAAGCAUUAAAGAUUAAUUGAUUUUUGGAAGGAAUUAGACAUACAUGCAUGUGGAAAUCAAGCCAAGGAACCGAAUUCAACAAGUUAAUUCAUCAUGCACAUGCGGACAAAAGAGAGAAAUUGAUUUUAGCUUUAAGAAGGGACCCCACGUGGCUUUCAUAAAUGGAAAAAGUAAACCUAUUACAAUUCAAAGUGCCCACGUGAGUAAAGCAAAACAAAUAACUUCCAAACCCUUUUGGCUUUAGGAUUGACAAGGUGGGGCCCAUUUUAAAGGCUAUAUAAGAAAGCUAAGCUCUUGGCUUUUAGAGGGAAGAUGAGCCGCCAAGAAGGGAGCUGCAAACGCAAGACGCAAGACUGGGCAGCAGCAGUUUGGCUUCCAUGAGUGAUUUUAUUUCUUUUGUUGCUCCCAAUUCAAGUAUGUCUAACUAAUUUUUUUAUACUGAUGUUAAAGAUGAAACCCUAUUCAAUGAAAUAAUUAUCUCUUUUUAUUUAAUUAAUUCCCUAUAUAUGUUCUUUGAUGAUUAUGGUUUUUAUUUCACAUGAUUAAUUGGAUGUUAAUAAAAUCUUUUCAUCAAUUCUGUCAUGCAUUAUUGAUUGUUAGGAUUAAUAUUCGAUUAAAUCUAUGCUUGGAUUUAUAAAAUUUUUACAUGAUUAUCUUUGAUUCUAUGUUUUUAAUUAAAUUGUUUACAUGGAGUGCUUAGGAAACUUUGACUCUUUGUUAUUCAAUAUGUUUACAUGGGAUGCUUAGAUAUCAUACUAUUAAGUAGAAAAAGAACCUACAUUAGAUUUAAUUACUUGGGCUUAAUUGCUAUAUCCAUGAGAUGACAUAAAUUGAUUUCGAGUUGUCACUCUAAAAUUGGGGAUUAAUUAAUAAUUAGAUAAUUACUAGUUGAAUAGUGGUAGAUUCUGAAACCUUGGUAAUUCUUAUUUUAUUGAAUUUUCCUUUAUUUUAAUUGCUUCCUUAGUUUAAUUGGUUUAAUUUUCUUAGAAACUCAAUUUGGUCAACUAGGUUAGAAUUAAUAUUAAUUUUAGAUUUAAAUUAGACUUUUCAAUUUAUAACAAUCCCUGCGGGAUCGACCUCGUUACCACUAUUCUAUUUCUAGAUUCGUGCGCUUGCGAAUAUAUUAAAAUUUUCACAACAUGAGACCCUUUUGGUUUUCUUGUUCCGUUCCUCGUACCAUAAAAUGGCACCACAAUAUUGACAUGUGUAUGUAGGGGGUCCAAAAUUCCAAGGCGUUGUAUAAUGAACUGUCAAAUUCAACAAAUAAUAAUAUUGUAACAAAGUAUCUUAUUUCGUCUAAGUGAAUAUGGUAAGAAAAAAUAUUACUAAAUAUAUUAAUAUUUUCAUUGUACAUGUAGUUUCAUGCAAAUAUGCACCAUUAUUUGAUGUUACACCAUCCAAUGGAAAGCUUGUGGACUGAUCUAUAUUCUCAUCAAAAGAGAGACACGCUCUUUUUAGUUGUCCAUGUUCAACUGCAUAUUUUUAAAGUUCCAAAAGCAAUGAAUAAGUUAUUAGUUUCAAGUAUUACAAGCAUGAUGAAUAACUAAUAAAGCUCGAUAAAUGUAAAUAUAUAUACGUACCUGUGUGAAGAAGGCGAUUUCCUCUGUUUGUUUGACUCUUUGGAUUUAUAUGUGAUGAUGUUUUAUUAUUAUCAUAUCCAGCUUUACCAGGAGAUUGAAGGAAAUUCCCAACUGAAAUAUGUUAGAAAUAUAUAUAUUUGUUAAUAUAUAUUAACAUAAAUAAUUUAAAUUAUAUAGGGAUAAUUUUUGUAAUUUGUAUAGUAGGAAUAAAAAUAAUAUUUUCAAGAAUCACAUACCGUUUGAGUGAAGCAAUUUAUUAUAACUUCUAAUGUCGUCCAACUUCAUAAAUUUUGUGUAAAAAUUCACAAUUUGUAGCAUCAAAAUUAUUCUCCUUUUUAAAUCAUGUUUGUAUCGAUUAUGAAUAAUCAUAAUUUUCCACUUAAAUCUUGCAUGCUUGAAUAUGGCCUUCUGCACGACAACAUAUCCAUUGUUUAUUGUGUCACACUGGAAAUUUGAUGCAUAUUUCCUAAGCUUUAAUUUCAUAAUCCUUUCGUGCCGAGCUAAAGAUGAAAGUUGAUGCCGCAAGAGACAAACUUCUGGCGGAAUAUUCCUUGAGUCAUCGAAAUCAUUAAUAGUUGCAGAAAUCAAUUCCAUUUAUUCUGGUGAACAACAAAGUGAAUUCAAUAUCACAAAAUAUUCUAAAAUUAACAAAACGUUUUAUUACAAAUCAUAACAAGAGAAACCGAAAAUAUAAAAUGUUUUUUUCAAAAGAGAUGAAAAAAAUAUUUUUCAAUUAUUGAAAUAAGAAUUGCAAUGAAUUUUUCAAACGAAUACAUACCAUAUGUUAGAAAGAACAAAAAAAAAUCACUAAAAACAAAACAAAAUAAAAUGGGAUUUAAUUUAACCAAUUCAAUUUAAUUUUAAACUCAUGCAAGUGUCACAUUGGCUUAAUUUUUGUUGUGCUUAUAGCCAGGAAUAGAGGCUUUUAGAUUACUUCUUUAUUAGGUUAUUAUUCUUCGAAUUUGGUGGGUACAUUGUGAGCUUUUUCAGUUGUGAUAUUAUCAAAUCAAUCCAUGCAAAAUAAUCAUUAAUGUAAUGUUUUUGUUAUUUUCAAACCGAUAAAUAAUUAUGAAUUGUUUCUAUAAUUGUGUAUUUAGAAACAACGUUAACACAUUUUUUCAGAACAAACUUCUAAGUUUGAUUGAUUUUAGAUCUAAUUACGAUACCCUAAAUUAAUAUAGAAAGUCAACAAAAAUCUACUUUAACAGUUCUAAUGUAAAUUUAAAGGCAAUUAAUUUUGAGUAAAUAUGAACUAAAACAAAACUUGAACAAAAUCUGAAUUUAUGUAUAAUAUUAAGGUAGCCACAUUGCAUUUGAAAAUGUCAAUUAGUGGGAUCUAAAUAAAUAAUCACCUUGGAAUUUUUUAAUGGUUGUAGGAGUUAAUAUUACAAUACAUGGGCUGUCAUCUUUGUUGUACAAAUUUCGAUCAAACAUCUCCCCCAACUUUUUCCAUAAAGUAAUCUUUGAUAUCACCGAGCUAUCCAUAAAAAUUGCCACAAGUGAAUAAUAUAAAGAGAAAAACUCAUUAUAAGGAUAUCGUAUUAUCAUUAAAUUUGAAAGUUUUGAAUUACGUUAUUAUACAAUUGGUUACUUUUUUUAAUUCCAAAUCACCAAUAUUAUUAUUCCCUAUUUCAAUAUGAAUAUUACCACUUGACUUUUUUAUUUGUGUUUAUGAAGAGGUGGGGUGUGAGGAAAAGAAAAAAAAUGUUUUUCUUAAGAAUUAGAAAAAAUAAUUAGGCAAUAAUUCAAGGAAUUGAGGUUGUUCAUUCUACAUUCCAUUUGGAUUUAGAGUGAUUUUCAUAGAUUUUUCUUUUAUUAAUUAUGCUAACCGUCAAGUACUGUUGUUUAUUCUAUUGCGUUUGGGAGAAGAUGCUUGGGCUGCCUAGAACUUAUUUUCUAAUUAAUUUUUCUUGUGAAUACAUUGAAUAAUCUCAAAGGGCUAUAUCCUUUUUCAUUUUACUUUAACGGUUUUUCUUCAACAAAUAUUGGAUGUAUUUAGUGAAAAAGAAAAUUAAAAAUUAGGAAAGAACUAAUAAAAUUAGUGAAGUCAAAUUGUCGAUCAAUUCUUAUGAUAAAACAAUAAUUAAAAAAUAUAUAGUCAUAGUUUUCUUGAUUAUAUUCGACUUAUUAAUCUGUUAAAACUUUUUAUAUCUUUUUUUCCAACUUCCCCAUUUGGUGAACUGUAAAAAUGAUAUGUUUUUUUCCACCAUUUGUCUCUAUCUUUUUUCACUCACAAAGAGUUAAUAGUUAUUAAUCAAUUAAUUUUUUUUGUUUGCAUAAGAAUUAAUAAUAUUGCAUACAUGUAUUGUGAAAUAAUUGUUUGUUCAUAAUUAUUUUUUGCAUUUUUUUAGAAGUCAAUAGUCAAAUUAAUGAUAUUGAAUUAAGACAUUUCGAAGUUUGCUAUUUUGUACUUCUAAGAUUUCCUAGAAAUGCUUGCAAAUGGGAGGCAUUAAUUUUUCUGUUUACUUUAUUGAAUUUCAUAAAAUUCAAUUCAAGCCAAAAAUUGAAGGUUAGAAAAGCAGUUGGAUAGUUUCAUAAAAUUAUUAUUUUAUCAUUUAAAAGAUAUGUACCACAUCAAUUAAGACUAAACAUUAGAAUCAUUAGCAUUGUUCCAAUCACACAGGCAAAAUCUAUCACUCUAAUAGUCAAGUACAUUGUACAAUGCAGUCGAGAACAACUUAAGCAUUUAGUUAACCUUUUCUAUCUGUUUAUUUCCACAAAACACCAAAUAUCCAAAUUGACACUGGAUCCUCCGAGUCAAAUAUAGCUAGCUCACGUUCAGAAAAGACCUGCCUCUUUUGAUUGUACCUCCUGCAUGCGAAUUAUAUAACAAUUAAAUAAAACUACACCAGAGAUUAAUUAGUCAAUAAAUAUAAACACGAGCUAAAACAUGUGUCUACUAAUAAUUCUUAAACGGGUCAAAGCUUUCAAAGUUUGCAUUGAAAAAUUAAAGUGAAAAUCUUCAAUACCUCCACGUGUAAAUCGUAUAAAUUAGACAACCAAAGAUUUUUCUUUCUUACCUUAUGCUUUUUCGCAAACAAGUAGAUAGCAACAAUUGUAAAGACAAGUGAGCAGUAAUCUGUUAAAAUAAAGUAAUCCGAUGUUAAUGAAAAUAAGAACAACAUAUUAUGUUUAAAACUAAGUUUUUAUAAUAAUGAAAUCGAGUAAAGUUAUUCGAUAAGGAUAAACAAAUAGAACGCAUUGACAAAUUGGCAUCAAAUUAAAUUGAUCCAAAGAAAUUGAGAUGCUAAAAUUUGAUUACGUACACAUUGAUUUUCAAAUAAUUAAUCCACACAUUGUUUUAUUCUUCAAACAUCUUUAAACACAAGAGCCAACACUUUCACUCUUAUAUAUUACUGCCAUAGUAACUUGAACUUGGUGAUCAGCUUUUUAAUUGAUUUGCAGUAGCUCACAAUUAAUUAAGCUUGAUCAUCAGUAGCUAGUAUUGAUCAUAAAAAUAUUUGUUUAAUUUACAAUCUAAAGUUACGCUCCAUACUCUAUAUAUGUGAAUUAUAUAUUUGCAUCAUCAACAUUAACAUUAUAAAAUAAUCUGUGCAAUAGGAUGCUCUUGGAGUAUUUUAUUUUCAUCACAAAAUAUAUUAAAAUUAUAUUAGACAGAGAAUAUAUCUAACACUUUCUAAACACUAAUAUAUAAUAGUUUCUACAAAAUAUGAAAUAUCUGUACUAAAAUACCAAAAUAUAAAUAUAUAUAGCCUAAUUGGAAUCAAUAAUCAAACUUCAAACAUGUCAUACUCUAAAGAAAUUAAAGCAUGAUAGUCUGUGUGUUUGACAUAUUCAACUAAAUGUUUGAUGAGAAUCUGUGAUUGUUAACAGCCAAUAAUGGUUUCUUUAGCAACUCAACUCAACUCAGCAAAACCACAACCAAUUACAUUUACCAACUCAACUCCUCGCUUCCCCAAUUUCCAACAUUCUCUUCACAUUUACAAAUGGUAGGUGGUCCUAUAAAUCCCAUUCAAGAAUGAACAAUUUUUUUCAGUUCCUAGUAGGUGAAGUUUCUUCCACAUUUACAAAAAUUUCGACAGCAUCUCCCCAUAGUUCUCCAAGUACACGACCUAGAUUUAUCCAUUCAUCUAGUAUGUACCCAGAGAACAUGAGGAGCAGCUAUCGAAAUUUCCUUUUACGUGAAACAAAACUUCACCUACUUUGAACUAAAAAAAAUUAUGCAUUCCCAAACUAUCCAAGUCGGGACAAUUCAAGAAUUAUUAAUAGACAUAUGAUCCUCUUGUCAUCCUAAGAUGACACGGAUAAAACAUGUGUCUACUAAUAAUUCUUAAACGGGUCUGAGCUUUCAAAGCAUGGAUGAAAAAAAAACGUAAAUCAAUAUAUAUAUAUAUAUAUAUAUAUAUAUAUAUAUAUAUAUAUAUAUAUAUAUAUAUAUAUAUAUAUAUAUAUAUAUAUAUAUAUAGAUUGCUUACAUAGAUUGCUUGGAUCCGAGAACUUUACAAUGAAAAUGUUUACAGUUUUGUAGAAAGGAAAAAUAACAAGACAGGAAUAGUUUUCCUUGACGUCUUGAUCCUGAUUUCCCGAAGAGAGAGAGAGAGAGAGAGAGAAAGUCUAGAAAAUGUAAACAAAGCUCUCCCCUUAAAUGUUACAAAGCUUUGAAUUUAAAACAACUGAAGCUUGAACUAUGGCGAGUUUGUAGCUUCAACUGUAGUGAAACUAUAGCUUUAUUCGUCCACUGUAGCGAAGCUGUAGCUUUACACAUGCGUGGUUGGUGAGUGGAGAUAGCAUCAUUGUGAAUGGACUUAGCUUUAUUGGCUUUUGCUGUAGUUUCACAUGCGUAGAUGAUGGAGCGGGAUCGUCAAGACAUGUGGGGGACAACAUCAUUCUUCUUUACAACUUUGAAAGAAAAUAAAAGAUGGGUGAAGAGACAUGUGCGCUCUCACUUGUGUCCAGAGGACCACCCAUAAAAAUAAUAUAUUAUGAAAAUAAUUACAACAGAGUAAUUUUUACAAAGGGGAAUACAAUCGUUAAUUACAUGAGUAAUAAAUACAAGGAAAUAAGGGAAAUAGGACAAUCUUUACUUUUUUUUUAACAAAGCUUUAAUGCUUUAAUGGAGAGAAUAUUUCGAAGCAGUCAUCUUCGUUUUCAUCUCCGAGGGAGAUAAACGGUUCAGCUUCUCCUGAGGAACUUGAUGAAGAACUUGCAGCAGAUGCCUUUGAUCUAGUGGCAAGAAGUUGCUGCAUUACUUUGAAACAUUCAUCCUCGGUUUUGGCACUAGCCAGUAGGGAUUGGGCUUUUGCUCUUUGGGCAAGGAAAGUGCUUUGGGCUUUGGUUACAUCUUUACUUGGGGCAAGGAGGCCUCUUGUAGAAAGCCAGGAUUGGACCGUGGCUUCAGACAAUUUUGACUGUUCGUCAAAUUUAGACCACCAUUUGACUUUAAAGGUUCUUAGUAAAACUAGUUGGGUGUCUAUGGUGUGGUAUUGGAAAUUCCACAUCCAAACCCAGGGAAGGAAAAAGUUUGUACAAAAACAGAGAAAAAGAGGAAACCUCUUCUCAGGCUCAGAAGGAACAUAGUGGGCUUUAAAUAAAUUUAAACAUUUGAUGGCAUUUUGGGUUAGAAUUUCUGGGUUUGGCCCAAAAUAGUUCCACCAAAUUUGGAACCAAAUUGGAAGGCUUUGAACGGUUAUUUUUUAGUUGAAGAAAAAUAACCAAGAGUGAGACUUUUUUGGAUUUUGGAUAAAAAAAUGUAUUAAACCAAGCCUACUGAUAAUCCCAGUAGGAGAAAGAUAAGCAGUGGUUAGGCUUCUUUGAAAAUUGGCGGGAAAGGUUUUUGGUUUGUGGAGUUGUUCACCCCACUGAUUUGGACUUAAGACUUUAAGAAUGGUAGCCGUGGAAUAGGCUAGCUCAGAAUGAGCUUCACUAAGAAAGAAAUGUUUAAACUUUACUGACUCAGUGAACUCAAGUAUGCUUUGGUAGAAAGACUGGAGUUUAGAUAAAUCCCAUGGUUUGAAAAACCAGCCUUUCGGAAAAAUCUUUGAAAUUGCUUGAAAUGGAUCAGAAUGAUAAAACCCAUCCUCCAUAGAUAAAACAUUUUGUUGAUAGGCUUUAUUAAACCAAUCCGAUGAUUUUUGUGAAAGCUUUGAUUCAGAAACAACAAUUUAUGAAGAAGAGCUUUCACAAGAAACAAUUUCUUUAGAGGAAGGGGGUUUUGAAAUUGUUUUAGAACUAAGUUUUUCUUUUUCAAGGAUUUGAGAAAGGGCUUUAGUUUGAGAAAUAUUUUGUAAGGCGAGCAUAAGCUCUGGAGACUUUGUAAUGGAGUUCAUCCAUUCUUUUACCUGAUCUUCUGAGGUAAUGGCUUUAUAUUGGGCUUCUUGUUCUUCAACCAUUUCAAUCCAAGAUUUGAUAGGCAUGGCAGAAGAAAGUAAUUUUUCUUUGGAUGGGGUUGAUUGGGGUUCUUUGGAGGUUGUUUGUGAGUCAGUGUCUUUAAGAACAGCUUUACCCUUGUCUUUUUUCUUGGGCGGCAUUAUCUGUUUUGAAGAAAUUCCCUAGUUAAAAAAUCAGGGAUAGAAUUUGUAUCUCCUUUAAUAAAUUCAAUAUCAAAAUCAAAAACACUUAAAAUGGCUUGCCAUCUUGCAAAAAUUUGUUUUGAAGCAAUAUUUUGAACAUCUUUUUCCAAAACAUGUUUUGCAGCUUUGCAAUAAAUUCUAAGCAAAAAUUUUUGAUUUAACAAAUCGCUUUGAAAUUUAGAAAUGCAUAAUACAAUGGAAAGAAUCUCUUUUUUAAUAGUAGAGUAAUUUCUUUGACAUUCAUUCCAAUGAGCAGAAAUAUAUUGUACUAUUUGUUCUUUAUUAUUAUCGGAUUGCUUUAAUAUACCUCCAUAACCUAAAUCUGAUGCAUCAGUUUCAACAAUUUUAGGCAAUGCAGGAUUUGCAAGGAAUAAACAUGGAAUAUUCUUAACAUAAUUCUUUAUUAGUCUAACGGCUUUCGUGUGCUCAUCAGUCCAUGCAACAGGGUUCUUUUUCAAUCUGUCAUGCAAGGGUUUUGACAUCCUGUUGAUAUUGGGACAAAAAUCAAGGACAUAAUUUAAACUUCCUAGAAAUCUUUGCAGUUGAGUUUUAUCAAGAAUUUUAUCAAGAAAUUUAUCAGCAAAUAUAAGAGAUCGCUCAAUAGGAGUAAUGGUUCCUUUGGAAAUGUAAUGACCUAGAAACCUGAUUUUUGUUUGAAACAAGGAAACUUUAGAACUAGAAAUGGCUAAGCCGGCCUUUCUAGUGGCAAGGUAGAAAGUCUUUAAAUGUUUGAAAUGUUGUUCAAUAGUUUGGGAAAAGAUUAACACAUCAUCAAUAUAGACAAUGCAAAAAUCAGAAAAAGGAUUAUAAAUAUCAUUAAUAAUUCUUUGAAAUUCUGAAGGUGCAUUUUUUAAACCGAAUGGCAUCACAAUCCAUUCAUACUGUCCAAAAGGAACAGUGAAAGCAGUUUUAUAACGGUCUUUAGGAUGAAUUUGAAUUCGCCAAAAUCCCGAUUUCAUAUCAAAUUUUGAAAAUACGAAAGCAGAAUGUAGUUUUUGGAGUAAAUCUUUUUUGUUAGGUAUGGGAUACCUAAUCCAUUUUAAUGCUUUAUUAAGGGGUUUGUAAUUUAUUACGAGUCUGGGUGUUCCUCUUUCUAUUUCAGAGUUUUUGUUAAUAUAGAAAGCGGCACAAGACCACGGAGACCUAGAUUUUACAAUGAGUCCUUUUGACUCCAAGUCUUUGAUUUCAUCUUUGUAAUGCUGUUCUAAUUCCAUGUUCAUUUGAAUAUGAUGGGCUUUAGUAGGUAUUUGUUUUUCAUCAAAAGAAUUUUCAUAAGGCAAAUCUACCAAAUGUUGUUUUCUAUUCCAGAAAGCAGAUGGUAGGUCAGCACAUAUUUCUUUUUCAAUGAGAUUUCUGAAAUCAGAGAUUUUUCUUUUUAUAAAAUCAUUUUGUAAUUGGGUUUUGAUUCUUUGUAAACUCAAAUAUUUUUUUAAACAAAUAAGGUCAUUUUUUUUUGAUUUAAGGAGUGUAUAAAUUUGAUUCUGAUAAACAGAACAAGCUUUAACAAUAUUCAAAUUUCUUGUUUUGGGUUUUUCAAUAAAAGAGAAAACAAGUUUUUUGAUUUUUGCUUUAAAGGAUAUACUAUCAUAAUUGACAGUAUAAGGGGUAAUAAGGUUUAUGAAAGGAACAAGCUUUAACAAUAUUCAAAUUUCUUAUUUUGGGUUUUUCAAUAAAAGGGAAAACAAGUUUUUUGGUUUUUGCUUUAAAGGAUAUACUAUCAUAAUUGACAGUAUAAGGGGUAAUAAGGUUUAUGAAAGGAGUUCCUAAUAUAACAAAAUGAUGAAUGUCAUUUGUUAGAAGAAAGGAAGUCCGAAAUUCAAAACCAUUAUUAUGCACUGAGACAUCAACUUUAGAUUUGACUUUUAACUUUGAAUUAUUAGUGGCAGAAAGUCUUUCAUUUGCUUUUUCAUGAAAUCUUUUAGGGAUAAUAUCUUCUUUAAUGCAGUUUAGAUCGGCACCGGUGUCAAAGAGGGCAAUAGUGUCAAUCUCAAAGGCUUUAGAAAGAAUUAAGGUGAUUUUAAUCAAAUAUUUUUUCGUGGUGAUUUGCUUUAAGACAAUCAGAAAAUCAUUGGGUACAGAUUCAAUGUUUUCAAGAUUUUGUUCAUUAUCACCGUCAGAUUCAAUUUCUUUAUCAGAAUUAUCCUCUAAUUAUUUUUGUAAGAGGAGUUGGAUGGUUUCAGAAUCAUUCUUUUAUUUUUCUUUUAAUUCCUUUAUUUCGAGUUUGAUUUCUUUAAUCUCUUUUUGAAGGUCUUGGAUAUUGGGAAUUGUUUUCUUUGUUCUCUUUUUAUCCAAGAUUUCAGUUAGGUCAUAUGUAUUCUUUUUAAUUAUUGGAGUUUUGGAAGUUUCUGUUUUAUUGUGUUCUAAGGUCUUUAAAAGCUUAUCGAGGUAUUCCUUUUGAAGAUUUAGAUUAGAAAUAUGUUUAACCAAUUCAAGUAAAGUUUCUUGUUCCUUAGUCAACACAUUGAUUUUCUUUAAGUAGGAUUCUGAGUCAGAAUCACUAUCACUGGAUACAGAUGUAUCUGAGUCAAUUAACUCAUCAACCUGUAGAGGUUCACUGUCUCCCGUCAUGGAAGACUCAGAGUCAGAAGACUCUAUCAAUAAAGGGGCUACUUUAGAAAGGAUUUCUUCAUCAAGGCCAAGCUCCUGGAGCUUUCUGUUCAUUCUGUAAAAUUUUACAGUGUGGCCUUUCUUUCUACAUUUGUAACAUGUGGCUUCUUUAUAAUUAAAGGGGGUUUUUGUUGUGUCUUUAAAGGUUUUCUUUUUAGAGAAAUAGGGUUUCCUAUAAGGCUUCGAAGGUUUCUUAUGGAAGGGUUCUCUAAAGUUUUGGAAGGGUUUCCUAUAGCUUUUAGAUUUGUGAUGUUUUUUGUAAGGUUUUGAAGAACACUUUCCAUCACAUUCUUUAGAAGUGGAAGUUUUAAAGGGAUCAUAAUUGAAUUGCUUGCAGAAACUGCCUAAUUCUUGCUUAGAUUUCCUAAGCUCCCAUUUUAGACGUUUCUGAAGUUUCAAAUCUUGACAAAUCUUUAAACCUUCCUUGUUAACAAAACUGACAAGUUCACUGUAGGUGAGCUCAUCAUAAGGAAUACGGUUGUCAUAUAAGGCUUUAAUAGAAUUCCUAACCUUUUCUCCUAAUAGGGUAGGUAAACCUGUAAGGAAUUUCUCUUUCCAGGUUAUAUGAUUUGCAUCAUCCCUAAGGAAGAGUCUGGUAAAGAAUGUGGUUUUGUAACUUUGGAACUCACUAAGUUUCCUACACCUCAAGUUAUGUAGUAACUCAAUAUUUUUAUCUUUUAGGUGUGAAGGAUCACCUAUGAAAUGAAGAGAUAUAGUCAGAAUCAGGGUAGCAACAACAUCCUGAAUAGGACUAUUGAAUUCAUCAAGGAUGGGGGCACCAUUUUCAUCUGUCUGAAUUGCAUUGAGGAUAUUUAAUUGUUGCUGUUUAGUGAGAAGGUGAUCCCACCAACCUUUAAGCUGACCAGUAAAACCAGCAAUGAGAAUUUCUGUAAUGGCUUUGUCAGAAGUUCCCGACUGAGUUUUAUAGGCAUUAGCUGCCAUGGUCAUCUGUUGCAACAAUCCUAGUAUGUUGUAUUCAGACAUACCAUCAAUAUUCCACUCAUAGACAGAAGAUGCAUUGAAUCGUGAUUGAUUUAAUGCUGCAGUCUGUUGUCUAUGGCUAGGUCAGGUGGAGACUUGACAGUAGGUAGAGCUAAUUCCCAAUGAAUUUUGUUGGCUUUGGAAACAGGUUCUUCUUUAAAGGCUUCUAUAUUAGAAGAGGCUAUAGACACAUUGUCUUGUUCUAGUACAGCAAUUAUGCUAGAUUGGGCACUGUCAGGGGCUAUUUGGAUUUUACUAGAAAAGAAAGAAGAAGCUUCUAUUCUAUCUAGUUGUUCUUUAAUGGCUUUAGCAAAAUAGCUAUAGUUGACUUCUGGAAUUGGUUUUCUAUUCUAGUGAACUGCUUUCCUAUUGUGUUUAGAUUAGCAUUACAGAAAUUAUUCUGUUGGAUAAUACUAUCUAAAUCUGAUUCUGGAUCUUUAUGGAUUUUAUAGGGUGAGGCUUUAAUUUCGAUAGGAGGCUCACCAUGUUCAAUGAUUAGACUCCUAAGAGGUGGAUGCUCAGAUUCUAUGACUCUACCAUUACCAGAGAGGUUCCACUCAGUGGUUUUCUUUCUAACAGUAAUGGGAUUUGAUUCUUUAAAAGGAUAUGAAAUGUUGUUAUUUGAAGCAUACAUCUCAAACCAAUCAAAAAAUAAUAUAUGAACUUUAUGCAGAUUUACAAACUCAUAGUAAGUUUCUUGAAUUUCUUUUCGUUGGUUUAAGAAAUGUUUAAAAAAUCAAAGUCUUUUUUCUUUAUUAGUGUCAGAAUAAAAAUCAUUAUGAAGAAGAGUUUUAUCUAAUUCAAAGUCUUUUUCAAUGACACGAAUCACAUUUUCUGUGACAGCAGAAAACGUAGGAGAGGUUGGAGGAGAAGGUUCCUUCUCUUCCUGGCUUUGUUCAUGUUGACAGCUAGUGUAAAUUGGGUGAGGAACACUAGUGGUAUAGUCAACAGAGUGAAUAGAGGAACUAGGUAUAUCUGAGGUAGAAAACCUAGGUUGACUCUUUACUGGUUGGAAAGGGAGAUUUAUAACGGAAGGAAUCUUUGAAAAUUUCCUUUCUAAUGAGGGAAUACUUGAGCAUGAAUCUUUAUCAGAGAAUCUAGAUGAUGUAGAUCUCCUAAAUGAUAAUUUGACUUUACCAUUUGAAUACUGAGUUACAUUUUGCAACUCUGUAUUAGGCUCAAGUUGUUUUGGAAUCACUGGUGCAGUGGCUCCUUCAAGAAUUCAUUCGUCUGGAAGAUUGACAUCUUUCCAUUGGAUUGGUUUUGGAAUAACGGUAUUAGCUUUAGACAAGUCAGUCUGCAAGAGAAGAGUCUCAUCUCUUUUUCACUGGAAUUUAUGUUGCGUGCUAAACGCAGAGAUCAUGUCUUUGUAAGAAAUUUUAUAGAUUAAUGCAACUGGAACAGAUCCCUCAAUCAUGUGAUAAUUAUGGGUCUUGAUUUGCAAAAUCAUGCUUUUUAAAAUGUUUUUGUCUUUUAAAGAAAUUGUUAUAUUCGGGUAACAAUUAAAUGAAAUUGGACCUUUACAAAGGCUUGAUUCUUUACUACUUAGUAAAGAAUCAUCGAAAAAGAUGAAUCGCCCAUCUCUUAGGACAGCAAGAAUGGAAGUAUUUAAACCUUCUUUUGUUAAGGGGUUUAUACCAACUUGUAUUAAACCAAUGUGAAUAUAAUUAAAUUUUUAUCUUUUAGUUUCUUUAAAGAGUGCUCUGAAAAGAGAUGAAUAGUUUCAAAUGGCUUUGAGAGAGUUAUGUCUCGUUCUUCAGUUUUUAUAACAUAAUCAUUGUUUAAAAAAUCAAGCUUUUUUGUUUUGUAAAUCAUUUCUAUAUUAACUUUUGGUAAUUCCCAAUUAUCAAUUGCUUUAUUAAAGUCUUCAAUUAUAAAUUCUUCCGAAUUCACAACAUUCUUUGAAUCACUAGUUCUUCCAGAAGAAGAGCUAGAAAAGGAUGAUGCUCUAUAGAGUAGAGAAUCCAUGGAUAAAACCUAUAUUCUAGUUUUAGUCUUGUCGGUAUGGCUACAAUCCAAGGCUAAGAAUUGGUUUUACUGCCCUCAACCAAAUCGGGACUUACGACCAAAUACUACCAAGGCACACAGAGGUAACACUCACCACAUAAACAAUGUUCAACCAAAACACAAGUCUUUAAACACAAAGUCUCUAUCCUAUAUUACACUAUCCUCCCCUUGGCUCUGAUACCAAUAAGAAAAUAGGAGAGCUUUGUUUACAUUUUCUAGACUCUCUCUCUCUCUCUCUUCGAGAAAUCAAGAUCAAGACGUCACGGAAAACUAUUCCUGUCUUGUAAUUUUCCCUUUCUACAAAACUGUAAACAUUUUCAUUGUAAAGUUCUCGGAUCCAAGCAAUCUAUGUAAGCAUCUCUCAUCUAAUCUAUUCAAAGUUUCAAAUGUAUGUUUAAAUUUCUGCAAUUUAUUUAAAGCUUUUAAUUUUAUAAAAACUGCUACGUUCCUCUAAGGCAAAGAGACCGGAUCUCUGCCCUUAGUUGUAUCUUCUCUUCUCCCUCUAUCCAUUCAGAAUACUAUUUCUGGGAUCCAGAUCUAGUAUUAUCUUUGAGCCUUUAGAUCUGUUGCUAGGCUUGCUUAAAGAAACUUUUUAAAAUUAUUUUGGUAUAUCGGCUAGAAAACAGAACGUGCGAGAUAUUGAUCUGUUCUAAGUCAGAUCUGGUCUUAAAGGCAGAUUAAGUUCUGCAUCGAUCUGGUAACAACGCAACGUACCGAUCUAAUUAAGCUUAAUAAAUUUAAUUUUCUACUUAUUAAUUGCAUUUUAAAGUUGUAAAAUUUUAAAUUAUACCUAAUCACAUCCAUCAUUCGAUCCUAUUUCCUUACUAUAGAGACUUUGUGUUUAAAGACUUGUGUUUUGGUUGAACAUUGUUUGUGUGGUGAGUGUUACCUCUGUAUGCCUUGGUAGUAUUUGGUCGUAAGUCCCGAUUUGGUUGAAGGGCAGUAAAACCAAUUCUUAGCCUUGGAUUGUAGCCAUACCGACAAGACUAAAACUAGAAUAUAGGUUUUAUCCAUGGAUUCUCUGCUCUGUAGAGCAUCGUCCUUUUCUAGCUCUUCUUCUGGAAGAACUAGUGAUUCAAAGAAUGUUGUGAAUUCAGAAGAAUUUGUAAUUGAAGACUUUAAUAAAGCAAUUGAUAAUUGGGAAUUACCAAAAGUUAAUAAAGAAAUGAUUUACAAAACAAAAAAGCUUGAUUUUUUAAAGAAUGAUUAUGUUAUAAAAACUGAAGAACGAGACAUAACUCUCUCAAAGCCAUUUGAAAUUAUUCAUCUCUUUUCAGAGCACUCUUUAAAGAAACUAAAAGAUAAAAAUUUUAAUUAUAUUCACAUUGGUUUAAUACAAGUUGGUAUAAAUCCCUUAACAAAAGAAGGUUUAAAUACUUCCAUUCUUGUUGUCCUAAGAGAUAGGCGAUUCAUCUCUUUCGAUGAUUCUUUACUAAGUAGUAUAGAAUCAAGCCUUUGUAAAGGUUCAAUUUCAUUUAAUUGUUACCCGAAUAUAACAAUUUCUUUAAAAGACAAAAACAUUUUAAAAAGCGUGAUUUUGGAAAUCAAGACCCAUAAUUAUCACAUGAUUGAGGGAUCUGUUUCAGUUGCAUUAAUCUAUAAAAUUUCUUACAAAGCCAUGAUCUCUGCAUUUAGCCCGCAACAUAAAUUUCAGUAAAAAAGAGAUGAGACUCUUCUCUUACAGACUGAAUUGUCUAAAGCUAAUACUGUUAUUCCAAAACCAAUCCAAUGGAAAGAUGUCAAUCUUCCAGACGAAUGGAUUCUUGAAGGAGCCACUGCACCAGUGAUUCCAAAACAACUUGAGCCUAAUACAGAGUUGCAAAAUGUAACUCAGUAUUCAGAUGGUAAAGUCAAAUUAUCAUUUAGGAGAUCUACAUCAUCUAGAUUCUCUGAUAAAGAUUCAUGCUCAAGUAUUCCUUCAUUAGAAAGGAAAUUUUCAAAGAUUCCUUCCGUUAUAAAUCUCCCUUUCCAACCAAUAAAGAGUCAACCUAGGUUUUCUACCUCAGAUAUACCUAGUUCCUCUAUUCACUCUGUUGACUAUACCACUAGUGUUCCUCACCCAAUUUACACUAGCCGUCAACAUGAACAAAGCCAGGAAGAGAAUGAACCUUCUCCUCCAACCUCUCCUACAUUUUCUACUGUCACAGAAAAUGUGAUUAGUGUCAUUGAAAAGACUUUGAAUUAGAUAAAACUCUUCUUCAUAAUGAUUUUUAUUUUGACACUAAUAAAGAAAAAAAACUUUAGUUUUUUAAACAUUUCUUAAACCAACGAAAAGAAAUUCAAGAAACUUACUAUGAGUUUGUAAAUCUGCAUAAAGUUCAUAUAUUAUUUUUUGAUUGGUUUGAGAUGUAUGCUUCAGAUAACAACAUUUCAUAUCCUUUUAAAGAAUCAAAUCCCAUUACUGUUAGAAAGAAAACCACUGAGUGGAACCUCUCUGGUAGUGGUAGAGUCAUAGAAUCUGAGCAUCCACCUCUUAGGAGUCUAAUCAUUGAACAUGGUGAGCCUCCUAUCGAAAUUAAAGCCUCACCCUAUAAAAUCCAUAAAGAUCCAUAAUCAAAUUUAGAUAGCAUUAUCCAACAGAAUAAUUUCUGUAAUGCUAAUCUAAACACAAUAGGAAAGCAGUUGACUAGAAUAGAAAACCAAUUUCAGAAGUCAACUAUAGUUGUUUCUCCUGUUACAUCAAAAUCGGAUUCUGACAAAAAACUUAAAGAGCCUAUUUUCAAACCUUUUCAGGUUUUGAAAACUAGUCAAAAGCUUGUACAAGAGUCAAAAUCAGAUUUUUCUAAAGCCAUUAAAGAACAACUAGAUAGAAUAGAAGCUUCUUCUUCCUCUUCUAGUAAAAUCCAAAUAGCCCCUGACAGUGCCCAAUCUAGCAAGAUUGGUGUACUAGAACAAGACAAUGUGUCUAUAGCCUCUUCUGAUAUAGAAGCCUUUAAAGAAGAACCUGUUUCCAAAGCCAACAAAAUUCAUUGGGAAUUAGCUCUAACUACUGUCAAGUCUCCACCUGACCUAGCCAUAGACAACAGACCUGCAGCAUUAAAUCAAUCACGAUUCAAUGUAUCUUCUAUCUAUGAGUGGAAUAUUGAUGGUAUGUCUGAAUACAACAUACUAGGAUUGUUGCAACAGAUGACCAUGGCAGCUAAUACCUAUAAAACUCAGUCGGGAACUUCUGACAAAGCCAUUGCAGAAAUUCUCAUUGCUGGUUUUACUGGUCAGCUUAAAGGUUGGUGGGAUCACCUUCUCACUAAACAGCAACAAUUGGAUAUCCUCAAUUCAAUUCAGACAGAUGAAAAUGGAGCCCCCAUCCUUGAUGAAUUCAAUAGUCCUAUUCAGGAUGCUGUUGCUACCCUGAUUCUGACUAUAUCUCUUCAUUUCAUAGGUGAUCCUUCACACCUAAGAGAUAAAAAUGCUGAGUUACUACAUAACUUGAGGUGUAGGAAACUUAGUGAGUUCCAAAGUUACAAAACCACAUUCUUUACCAGACUCUUCCUUAGGGAUGAUGCAAAUCAUAUAACCUGGAAAGAGAAAUUCCUUACAGGUUUGCCUACCCUAUUAGGAGAAAAGGUUAGGAAUUCUAUUAAAGCCUUGUAUGACAACCGUAUUCCUUAUGAUGAGCUCACCUACGGUGAACUUGUCAGUUUUGUUAACAAGGAAGGUUUAAAGAUUUGUCAAGAUUUGAAACUUCAGAAACGUCUAAAAUGGGAGCUUAAGAAAUCUAAGCAAGAAUUAGGCAGUUUCUGCAAGUAAUUCAAUUAUGAUCCCUUUAAAACUUCCACUUCUAAAGAUUGUGAUGGAAAUGUUCUUCAAAACCUUACAAAAAACAUCACAAAUCUGAUUGUGAUGGAAAUGUUCUUCAAAACCUUACAAAAAACAUCACAAAUCUAAAAGCUAUAGGAAACCCUUCCAAAACUUUAGAGAACCCUUCCAUAAGAAACCUUCGAAGCCUUAUAGGAAACCCCAUUUCUCUAAAAAGAAAACCUUUAAAGACACGACAAAACCCCCCUUUAAUUAUAAAGAAGCCAUAUGUUACAAAUGUGGAAAGAAAUGCCACACUGUAAAAUUUUGCAGAAUGAACAGAAAGCUCCAGGAGCUUGGCCUUGAUGAAGAAAUCCUUUCUAAAGUAGCCCCUUUAUUGAUAGAGUCUUCUGACUCUGAGUCUUCUAUGACGGGAGAUAGUGAACCUCUACAGGUUGAUGAGUUAAUUGACUCAGAUACAUCUGUAUCCAGUGAUAAUGAUUCUGACUCAGAAUCCUACUUAAAGAAAAUCAAUGUGUUGACUAAGGAACAAGAAACUUUUCUUGAAUUAGUUAAACAUAUUUCUAAUCCAAAUCUUCAAAAGGAGUACCUCAAUAAGCUUUUAAAGACCUUAGAACUCAAUAAAACAGAAACUUCCAAAACUCCAAUAAUUAAAAAGAAUACAUAUGACCUAACUGAAAUCUUGGAUAAAAAGAGAACAAAGAAAACAAUUCCCAAUAUCCAAGACCUUCAAAAAGAGAUUAAAGAAAUCAAACUCGAAAUAAAGGAAUUAAAAGAAAAAUAAAAGAAUGAUUCUGAAACCAUCUAACUCCUCUUACAAAAACAAUUAGAGGAUAAUUCUGAUAAAGAAAUUGAAUCUGACGGUGAUAAUGAAUAAAAUCUUGAAAACAUUGAAUCUGUACCCAAUGAUUUUCUGUUUGUCUUAAAGCAAAUCACCACGAGAAAAUAUUUGAUUAAAAUCACCUUAAUUCUUGCUAAAGACUUUGAGAUUGACACUAUUGCCCUCUUUAACACCGGUGCCGAUCUAAACUGCAUUAAAGAAGAUAUUGUCCCUAAAAGAUUUCAUGAAAAAACAAAUGAAAGACUUUCUGCCGCCAAUAAUUCAAAGUUAAAAGUCAAAUCUAAAGUUGAUGCCUCAGUGCAUAAUAAUGGUUUUGAAUUUCGGAUUUCCUUUCUUCUAACAAAUGACAUUCAUCAUUCUGUUAUAUUAGGAACUCCUUUCAUAAACCUUAUUACCCCCUAUACUGUUAAUUAUGAUAGUAUAUCCUUUAAAGCAAAAACUAAAAAACUUGUUUUCCCUUUUAUUGAAAAACCCAAAACAAAAAAUUUGAAUAUUGUUAAAGCUUGUUCUAUUUAUCAGAAUCAAAUUUAUACACUCCUCAAAUCAAAACAAAAUGACCUUAUUUGUUUAAAAAAAGAUUUGAGUUUACAAAGAAUCGAAACCCAAUUACAAAAUGAUUUUAUAAAAAGAAAAAUCUCUGAUUUCAGAAAUCUCAUUGAAAAAGAAAUAUGUGCUGACUUACCAUCUGCUUUCUGGAAUAGAAAACAACAUUUGGUAGAUUUGCCUUAUGAAAAUUCUUUUGAUGAAAAACAAAUACCUACUAAAGCCCGUCCUAUUCAAAUGAACAUGGAAUUAGAACAGCAUUGCAAAGAUGAAAUCAAAGACUUGGAGUCAAAAGGACUCAUUGUAAAAUCUAGGUCUCCGUGGUCUUGUGCCGCUUUCUAUGUUAACAAAAACUCUGAAAUAGAAAGAGGAACACCCAGACUCGUAAUAAAUGACAAACCCCUUAAUAAAGCAUUAAAAUGGAUUAGGUAUCCCAUACCUAACAAAAAUAUUUACUCCAAAAACUACAUUAUGCUUUCGUAUUUUCAAAAUUUGAUAUGAAAUCGGGAUUUUGGCAAAUUCAAAUUCAUCCUAAAGACCGUUAUAAAACUGCUUUCACUGUUCCUUUUGGACAAUAUGAAUGGACUGUCAUGCCAUUCGGUUUAAAAAAUGCACCUUCAGAAUUUCAAAGAAUUAUGAAUGAUAUUUAUAAUCCUUUUUCUGAUUUUUGCAUUGUCUAUAUUGAUGAUGUGUUAAUCUUUUCCCAAACUAUUGAACAACAUUUCAAACAUUUAAAGACUUUCUACCUUGCCACUAGAAAGACCGGCUUAGCCAUUUCUACUUCUAAAGUUUCCUUGUUUCAAACAAAAAUUAGGUUUCUAGGUCAUUACAUUUCCAAAGGAACCAUUACUCCUAUUGAGCGAUCUCUUAUAUUUGCUGAUAAAUUUCCUGAUAAAAUUCUUGAUAAAACUCAACUGCAAAGAUUUCUAGGAAGUUUAAAUUAUGUCCUUGAUUUCUGUCCCAAUAUCAACAGGAUGUCAAAACCCUUGCAUGACAGAUUGAAAAAGAACCCUGUUGUAUGGACUGAUGAGCACACGAAAGCUGUUAGACUAAUAAAGAAUUCUGUUAAGAAUAUUCCAUGUUUAUUCCUUGCAAAUCCUGCAUUGCCUAAAAUUGUUGAAACUGAUGCAUCAGAUUUAGGUUAUGGAGGUAUAUUAAAGCAAUCCGAUAAUAAUAAAGAACAAAUAGUACAGUAUGUUUCUGCUCAUUGGAAUGAAUGUCAAAGAAAUUACUCUACUAUUAAAAAAGAGAUUCUUUCCAUUGUAUUAUGCAUUUCUAAAUUUCAAAGCGAUUUGUUAAAUAAAAUUUUUUUGCUUAGAAUUGAUUUCAAAGCUGCAAAACAUGUUUUGAAAAAAGAUGUUCAAAAUAUUACUUCAAAACAAAUUUUUGCAAGAUGGCAAGCCAUUUUAAGUGUUUUUGAUUUUGAUAUUGAAUUUAUUAAAGGAGAUACAAAUUCUAUCCCUGAUUUUCUAACCAGGAAAUUUCUUCAAAACAGAUAAUGCCGCCCAAGAAAAAAGACAAGGGUAAAGCUGUUCUUAAAGACACUGAGUCACAAACAACCUCCAAAGAACCCCAAUCAACCCCCUCCAAAGAAAAAUUACUUUCUUCUGCCAUGCCUAUCAAAUCUUGGAUUGAAAUGGUUGAAGAACAAGAAGCCCAAUAUAAACCCAUUACCUCAGAAGAUCAGGUAAAAGAAUGGAUGAACUCCAUUACAAAGUCUCCAGAGCUUAUGUUCGCCUUACAAAAUAUUUCUCAACUAAAGCCCUUUCUCAAAUCCCUGAAAAAGAAAAACUUAUUUCUAAAACAAUUUCAAAACCCUCUUCCUAUAAAGAAAUUGUUUCUUGUGAAAGCUCUUCUUCAUAAAUUGUUGUUUCUCAAUCAAAGCUUUCAAAAAAAUCAUCAGAUUGGUUUAAUAAAGCCUAUCAACAAAAUGUUUUAUCUAUGGAGGAUGGGUUUUAUCAUUCUGAUCCAUUUCAAGCAAUUUCAAGGAUUUUCCCGAAAGGCUGGUUUUUCAAACCAUGAGAUUUAUCUAAACCCUAGUCUUUCUACCAAAGCAUACUUGAGUUCACUGAGUCAGUAAAGUUUAAACAUUUCUUUCUUAGUGAAGCUCAUUCUGAGCCAGCCUAUUCCACGGCUACCAUUCUUAAAGUCUUAAGUCCAAAUCAGUGGGGUGACCAACUCCACAAACCAAAAACCUUUCCCGCCAAUUUUCAAAGAAGCCUAAAUCACUUCUUAUCUUUCUCCUACUGGGAUUAUCAGCAGCCCUGGUUUAAUACCUUUUUUAUCCAAAAUCCAAAAAAGUCUCACUCUUGGUUAUUUUUCUUCAACUCAAAAAUAACCGUUCAAAGCCUUCCAAAUGGUUCCAAAUUUGGUGGAACUAUUUUGGGCCAAGCCCAGAAAUUCUAACCCAAAAUGCCAUCAAAUGUUUAAAUUUAUUUAAAGCCCACUAUGUUCCUUCUGAGUCUGAGAAGAGGUUUCCUCCUUUUCUCUGUUUUUGUACAAACUUUUUCCUUCCCUGGGUUUGGAUGUGGAAUUUCCAAUACCACACCAUAGACACCCAACUAGUUUUACAAAGAACCUUCAAAGUCAAAUAGUGGUCUAAAUUUGACGAACAGUCAAAAUUGUCUGAAGCCACGGUCCAAUCCUGGCUUUCUACAAGAGGCCUCCUUGCCCCAAGUAAAGACGUAACCAAAGCCCAAAGCACUUUCCUUGCCCAAAGAGCAAAAGCCCAAUCCCUACUGGCCAGUGCCAGAACCGAGGAUGAAUAUUUCAAAGUAAUGCAGCAACUUCUUGCCACUGGAUCAGAGGCAUCUGCUGCAAGUUCUUCAUCAAGUUCCUCAGGAGAAGCUGAACCGUUUAUCUCCCUUGGAGAUGAAAACGAAGAUGACUGCUUCGGAAUAUUCUCUCCAUUAAAGCAUUAAAGCUUUGUUAAAAAAAAAAAAGUAAAGAUUGUCCUAUUUCCCUUAUUUCCUUGUAUUUAUUACUCAUGUAAUUAACGAUUGUAUUCCCCUUUGUAAAAAUUACUCUGUUGUAAUUAUUUUCAGAAUGUAUUAUUUUUCUGGGUGGUCCUCUGGACACAAGUGAGAGCGCACAUGUCUCUUCACCCAUCUUUUGUUUUCUUUCAAAGUUGUAAAGAAGAAUAAUGCUGUCCCCCACAUGUCUUGACAAUUCCGCUCCAUCAUCUACGCAUGUGAAACUACAGUAAAAGCCAAUAAAGCUAAGUCCAUUCACAAUGAUGCCGUCUCCACUCACCAACCACGCAUGUGUAAAGCUACAGCUUCGCUACAGUGGGCGAAUAAAGCUACAGUUUCGCUACAGUUGAAGCUACAGACUCGCCACAGUUCAAGCUUCAGUUGUUUUAAAUUCAAAGCUUUGUAACAUUUAAGGGGAGAGCUUUGUUUAUAUUUUCUAGACACUCUCUCUCUCUCUCUCUCUCUUCGAAAAAUCAGGAUCAAGACGUCAAGAAAAACUAUUCCUGUCUUAUAAUUUUCCCUUUCUACAAAACUGUAAACAUUUUCAUUGUAAAGUUCUCGGAUCCAAGCAAUCUAUGUAAGCAUCUCUCAUCUAAUCUAUUCAAAGUUUCAAAUGUAUGUUUAAAUUUCUGCAAUUUAUUUAAAGCUUUUAAUUUUAUAAAAACUGCUACGUUCCUCUAAGGCAAAGAGACCGGAUCUCUGCCCUUAGUUGUAUCUUCUCUUCUCCCUCCAUCCAUUCAGAAUACUAUUUCUAGGAUCAAGAUCUAGUAUUAUCUAUGAGCCUUUAGAUCUGUUGCUAGGCUUGCUUAAAGAAACUUUUUAAAAUUAUUUUGGUAUAUCGGCUGGAAAACAGAACGUGCGAGAUAUUGAUCUGUUCUAAGUCAGAUCUGGUCUCAAAGGCAUAUUAAGUUCUGCAUCGAUCUGGUAACAACGCCACGUACCGAUCUAAUUAAGCUUAAUACAUUUAAUUUUCUACUUAUUAAUUGCAUUUUAAAGUUGUAAAAUUUUAAAUUCUACCUAAUCACAUCCAUCCUUCGAUCCUAUUUCCUUACUAUAUAUAUAUAUAUAUAUAUAUAUAUAUAUAUAUAUAUAUAUAUAUAUAUAUAUAUAUAGUUGAGUUUAUUAACAUUGCCUGGGUUUAGCGGAGAAAAUAUGAAGAAGAAGAAGUAGUUUGGGCAAAAAUCAAAGGGUUUUGAUUUUCAUUAUUGAUCAAUUGAAAUAGUAGAGUAGUGGACCUUCUCAGCUAGUUCCAUAGAUGUUAAUAAAUCUAAAAUUUGUUAGCACUUAACAUUUGCUAAAGAAACCGUUUUAAGUUUCAAUUCUUUAAAUUAAUGUUAAUUAGAUUUGACAUUGAAGAUUAAUUAUUCACUAAGGCUUAUCAUAUUUAUAAAAAAAUAUAAAACGUUGCAUAAUUAAAUAUGGGAUUAUGGCAUUAAAAUUAGACCUUAGUAAUGGCAUUGGUGAGGGAAGAUGAAAGAAUUCCUUCCUAUAUUAAUUAGUUGAUGUAUUUUAAGCCACUCAAGUUCAAUUGUUGGCUUAAUAAAAUAAAUGAAUGUUUCAAGACUUAUAAUUAAUUAUUAUUAAUGGUUAUAUAUUGUUGAAUUUAAAUAGAAAUAGGAAAAGACAUGUAAUCUUUUGUAAUCUAAUAAUCAUUUUCUAUUUAUUUUCUAUUUUUAAUAUUUUGUAAUGUAAUUAUUUUUUAAUUUAAGCUAAUAUAUUAGAUAUUAGAGAAUAUAAAGAGAUGAGAAAUAAUGAUGCCACAAAUCUUAAAUACUUAAUAUUUAUAGAAUUUGAAGAAGCCAAAAAGCACUAAACAAAAGGUUGCAUAAUUAAAUAUGAAAUUAUGACAUUAAAAUUAGGCCCUAGUGGCAUUUUUUAUAAGUUGAAGGAACCUUCCUUUCUAUAUUAAUUAAUUAAUGCUUUUUAAAGCCAUUAAGGUUUAAUUGUUGGCAUAAUAAAAUAAAUGAAUGUUUCAAGACUUAUAAUUAAUUAUUAUUAAUGGUUACAUAUUGUUGAAUUUAAAUAGAAAGAGGAAAAGACAUGUAAUCUUUUGUAACCUAAUAAUUAUAUUCUAUUUUUAAUAUUUUAUAAUGUAAUUAUUUUUUAAUCUCAACCAAUAUAUUAGAUAAUAGAGAAUAUAAGAAGAUGUAAAAUAGUGAUGUCACAUCACCUCUUGUAGUUAAGGCUUAUAAUUAAUUAAUAGAUAUGGAUAACAACGUGGGUGCUGUAAUAGUAUUGAUUUCUCAACCAAAUCUUCUGUCUUUUACCCGACUUUCAUUUUUCUAUUGACGGUAGCUAACUAUUGUUUUCUUAUUAUUUCUUUUAUCUAGGUUUAAAUUUUAUGAGAAAUUUGUCAAUUUUCAAUUAUUGGGUGAAAUUGGUACGCAAAUGAUGUGUUUUAUAGCAAUUUGCGUCUUUCUCAUCUUCAAGACUAUCAUUAGUCAAUAAUGUUGCUAUUACCUCAGGCUCUCGUGAGUCUAAACGUUUUCUAAUUAAUUGAAAAUGAUAUAAUGAUUAAUUAAUUGUUGAUAAUAAAACCAAUUUAAUACGACGUCUCCGCAUUUCUUUCUUUAUUUCUUUUAAACCUCAAUCAUUGUCAAAACUGUUAAUGGGUUGCAAUUAAACACUUAACAAAUCUUAAACUUGUUGUUAGCAAUUAACAUUUGCUAAAGGAACCGUCUUAAGUUUCAAUUCUUUAAAUUAAUGUUAAUUAGAUUUAAGACGAAAAUUAAUUAUUCACUAAGACUUGUCUAUAAAUAAAAAAGUAGAUACAAAAUGUUAUAUAAUUAAAUAUGAGAUUAUGGCGUUAAAAUUAGGCCUUGGUAGUGGCAUUGUUGAGGGAAGAUAAAAGAACCUUCAUUCCUAUAUUAAUUAAAUUAUAUGUUAUGACGUGAAAAAAUAAACAGUCCAUUUUUGUAUUUUGUAUUUUGUAUUUUCUGAAGAUUUGAAACAAUGUGCUUUCUUUUCGGAGUGAUAAUAAUUGGAUCCAUUGCUUUUUCCUUUUAAUGUUUUAUAAACAUAUAUUGUCUAUUUGCAUCAAAUAAGUCCCAAUCUCUUUUACAAUCGCUAAUAAAACACCUUUUAAUUAUUAAACUAUAAAUAUGUGUCAUUCAAAAUCCAAUUUUGUUGAAUCUAGAUUAAGUGUUAAUCUUUUUUUUAUUUAUUUUUUGAUAUGUGUAUAUUUAUAACAAUAUAAUAUUAAAAUUUAGUUGUAUCUAUAUUGUUAUUUAAAAACUAUUAAUCAAACGACAAACCUUUAUAAAAUUCAUCACAAAAAUUAGAUCAACAUUGAAUCUUUAUUCAAUCUCGGUUAGGAGCCUAUUUGAUAUAAAUUGAUAAACAAUAUCCUUAUUUGAUAAAAUAUAGGGACAUUGAUAUUAUUAUUAUCUAGAUUUCCUUUUGGCUCUUUUUCAAUGCUAUUUUUAGAUUUUAUACGUUAUCAUCUUUUCUUAACUUUUUUAUUCUUGAAUACAAUAACUGUCAAAAACCAACGGUUCAAAUGAGCUUUUUUUGUGUUUGAAUUUUCAAAGUUCCCACUUAUUUUAUUUAUUAUUGGAGGACAAUAAUGUUUUCUUAGGCAACUAAAAUGUAAAUUAAGUAAAACAUUCCUCCUAAAUUAGUUUUGGGUAACUUUGGAAUUUAAGGCUAGGAACAUGUUGGAUGUUAAUAUAUCAAAAACAUAGCAAAACACAGAGUUUUCAGGUGCCCAAUUCAUUAGUUUCAUCAUUUAAGUCCUCGUGCGGGGACUUGAGUCACUUAAUUUGACCAAGUUGAUGGCUGGUUAAAAUGGUUCGAAAGAGCAAGCGAGGGCAACAAAUGAACGAAAAAAAGAUUUUCGAUUUUGCAUUACAAAUUUUAAGUUUAUAAAGCCGAUCAACAACAGACUUUGGGAGAUUGAUUUGUGAUGGAAGAUAGAGAAUUAGGAAGGGUUUCUUCUUUGAAGAGUUAAAAAAUUUGAACUUUAAAAAUUUUCAAUAAGUACAAAUAUAAUAUGAAUAGUUUCAUUUGUUCAGUAGACCAAUCAUAUUAAAAUAAUGUUAGUAAGGAAAAUAAUUUAAAAACUAUUCGUAAUUAAAAUAAUUUUAAAAAUGUAAAUUACCUUUCUCCCCUCAUUUUUUAAGCAAAAAUAAAAAUAACUUGAAGUUUUUAAAAAUAAUGAAGUAAUUUAAAAAUAAUCAAUUUGGAAUAAUUCAAAAUUUACCCAAGAGAUUAUUCACAAUAUCAAUCAAUGAAUUAGAAACAUUAUGUGUUAAGUGGUAUAAGCAUACAUAUAACUAUUAUUUUUAACUUAUUGAUCUCAAUCUUGAGUGUUCGGAUUAGAUCUUUGGGGUUUCAUUUUUCAGAUUUCGGUGAUUGAAAGUCUGAAACUCAAAGUAACAAAAAUUAAAUUUAUAUUUUAUCGCAAGUGAAGUGUAGAGAUUAAUCCAAUUAUUUGCGUCUAGCGUUUCUUUUUGUUGCUAUCACUCUUGUUGAUGAUGAUAAGCCUUUUUUUGCAUUGUCACUACCAAUUUAUUAUCUACAUUCAUCUAUAGAACGAAGCAAGAUGCCAAGAAAGAAAUCUAACACAAGAAAAAUAAGUUCUCUCAAUCAUUCAAAACAAAUACAUACAUAGACAGAAAAAUAAGACAUAUCAUAUCACACUUAAAUAUUACCACUCUAAAAAGAAAAAAGGUCAAAAGACUAACACACAUGUAAAAAGACGACCAACAACAACACUAAACAUGUUUUGUGUAUUGAUUACUUCCACCAUCACUAACUUCAUCAUCAUCAAUAAUUUGGUUUUUUCUCUUUCUAUUCUUACCAGCAUUAGUAACAUGAAAAUCUCCUAUAGAAUCUUCCAAAUUAUUUGAUAAGAUAUCAUGAGGAUCCUAUAAUUUUUUAAUCAAGGAAAUUAUAAUUAUGAGUAAAUUGAACAUGCUAAUUUUAAUCAUAAAGGAAAACAACUGGGAAAUAAGAGUAAAUAAAAUUACCAUUUCUUGGGAAUGUCCUUCCUUUCUUUCACAUAUUUCCACAUUUUCAUGAUCUGUAUUGUUUUUUUCCUACAAAAAACAACAAUUAAAUAUUUUUUUUUAACAUUACAUAUAUUGCCUACAAAUUGAACCUAGCAUAAGUAGAUAAUACCUUUUUGUCCUUCUUCAAUUCUUGUUCUAGCUCCAAUUUCUCAUUAGGGGUGAAAAGUUUUGACACAGUAAAAUUCUCAAGUCUCUCUUUCAAUUGUAAUAAUUCAAUUUCAGUUUGUAAACAAAAUCUUUUCCACAAAGGCUUUGAAUUUCUGCAGGGACAUCCUUUACUAUAAUAAAGGUAGUCUAUUAAACAANNNNNNNNNNNNNNNNNNNNNNNNNNNNNNNNNNNNNNNNNNNNNNNNNNNNNNNNNNNNNNNNNNNNNNNNNNNNNNNNNNNNNNNNNNNNNNNNNNNNNNNNNNNNNNNNNNNNNNNNNNNNNNNNNNNNNNNNNNNNNNNNNNNNNNNNNNNNNNNNNNNNNNNNNNNNNNNNNNNNNNNNNNNNNNNNNNNNNNNNNNNNNNNNNNNNNNNNNNNNNNNNNNNNNNNNNNNNNNNNNNNNNNNNNNNNNNNNNNNNNNNNNNNNNNNNNNNNNNNNNNNNNNNNNNNNNNNNNNNNNNNNNNNNNNNNNNNNNNNNNNNNNNNNNNNNNNNNNNNNNNNNNNNNNNNNNNNNNNNNNNNNNNNNNNNNNNNNNNNNNNNNNNNNNNNNNNNNNNNNNNNNNNNNNNNNNNNNNNNNNNNNNNNNNNNNNNNNNNNNNNNNNNNNNNNNNNNNNNNNNNNNNNNNNNNNNNNNNNNNNNNNNNNNNNNNNNNNNNNNNNNNNNNNNNNNNNNNNNNNNNNNNNNNNNNNNNNNNNNNNNNNNNNNNNNNNNNNNNNNNNNNNNNNNNNNNNNNNNNNNNNNNNNNNNNNNNNNNNNNNNNNNNNNNNNNNNNNNNNNNNNNNNNNNNNNNNNNNNNNNNNNNNNNNNNNNNNNNNNNNNNNNNNNNNNNNNNNNNNNNNNNNNNNNNNNNNNNNNNNNNNNNNNNNNNNNNNNNNNNNNNNNNNNNNNNNNNNNNNNNNNNNNNNNNNNNNNNNNNNNNNNNNNNNNNNNNNNNNNNNNNNNNNNNNNNNNNNNNNNNNNNNNNNNNNNNNNNNNNNNNNNNNNNNNNNNNNNNNNNNNNNNNNNNNNNNNNNNNNNNNNNNNNNNNNNNNNNNNNNNNNNNNNNNNNNNNNNNNNNNNNNNNNNNNNNNNNNNNNNNNNNNNNNNNNNNNNNNNNNNNNNNNNNNNNNNNNNNNNNNNNNNNNNNNNNNNNNNNNNNNNNNNNNNNNNNNNNNNNNNNNNNNNNNNNNNNNNNNNNNNNNNNNNNNNNNNNNNNNNNNNNNNNNNNNNNNNNNNNNNNNNNNNNNNNNNNNNNNNNNNNNNNNNNNNNNNNNNNNNNNNNNNNNNNNNNNNNNNNNNNNNNNNNNNNNNNNNNNNNNNNNNNNNNNNNNNNNNNNNNNNNNNNNNNNNNNNNNNNNNNNNNNNNNNNNNNNNNNNNNNNNNNNNNNNNNNNNNNNNNNNNNNNNNNNNNNNNNNNNNNNNNNNNNNNNNNNNNNNNNNNNNNNNNNNNNNNNNNNNNNNNNNNNNNNNNNNNNNNNNNNNNNNNNNNNNNNNNNNNNNNNNNNNNNNNNNNNNNNNNNNNNNNNNAAAGUCAUAGUUUCUUGAUUAUAUUCAACUACUAAUCCGUUAGAAUUUUAUAUCUCUUUUUUUCCAACCCAGCUCCAACGAUCUCAAUAUCACCCAUAGCACAUAAACUUCUGAUAACAUCUGUAAUAUUAUGGAAAAAUAACAUAAACAUGUUAAAACAUAAGGAUUAAUAAUUUCUAAUAUACACUUAAAGAUUAACAAAUAUUAAUAAUUAAAAAAAUACUGAGAGGAUUGUGUUAUCAUUCACACGUAAAUCAAUCAAAUUCAGAGAUACGAAUUGAAAUCCAUUAAUCGGAAUCUUGACAGUUCCUUCUUCUACCCUCUUAAGAGAAGUUAUAACCAAGAAAAUAAUCUUAUACUGAUUUGAAAGUGGUAUGUACUCGCCUAUAGUUGAAACAACUUUCAAAUUCUUGACAUUGUACAAAGAACCCUCACUCAACAUGUGCUUAAACCUUGUCACUAAAGUUUUCCUGAUUGUUGCAUGCAUUAGAUUUUCCUACGAAAAAAAAAACACAUACUACAUUAAGUGUGAAACAAUUGGGAAAAAAAUUAGAGAAAACAAUGGGAGAAUGAAUUUUUUAUACAACAUUUUCAUCAAUAAAAAUCAUAUCAGCACUAAUCAAUUCUCCAUUUUUUUUAGUAUUAGUAGACUCCCACUUCCUACAAAGCCUAACCCUUAUCAUCCAACUAUCUUUAUCAUUGUUCAACUCAUGAAGAAAAGAGUACUCCAUGAAGCACACAAUACCAAAAAUUCAAAUAAAUCAAACAAUAAAAAUACAAGUAUUUUUCUAAAGAGUGUGUUGAUUAAAUAAAUAAAAAGACCCUAAACAUAACAAAUCUUAAAUAUUUAGUGUUUAGAGAGCUUGAAGAAGCCAAAAGGCACUAAACAAAAGGUUGCAUAAUUAAAUAUGAGAUUAUGUCAUUAAAAUUAGGCUCUAGUGGCAUUGUUGAGGGAAGAUGAAAGAACCUCUCUUCCUAUGUUAAUUUAUUGAUGUAUUUUAAGCCACUAAAGUUUAAUUGCUAGCAUAAUAAAAUUUGAAGGAGCCAAAAGACACUCAACAAAAGGUUUCAUAAUUAAAUAUAUGAUUAUGACAUUGAAAUUAGGCCCUAGUGGCAUUGUUGAAGGAAGAUGAAAGAACCUCUCUUCCUAUAUUAAUUAAUUUAUGUAUUUUAAGCCACUAAAGUUUAAUUGCUAGCAUAAUAAAAUAAAUGAAUAUUUCAAAAUACUUAUAAUUAAUUAUUAUCAAUGGUUACAUAUUGUUGGAUUUAAAUAGAAAGAGGAAGAAACAUGUACAAAGAAUAUCCACUAAUAUUUUAGAUAUUUUAAAUAAUAGAAAAUAUAAAAAGAUGAGGUUGAGGGAAGAUGAAAGAACCUCUCUUCCUAUGUUAAUUAGUUGAUGUAUUUUAAGGCACUAAAGUUUAAUUGCUAGCAUAAUAAAAUUUGAAGAAGCUAAAAGGCACUCAACAAAAGGUUGCAUAAUUAAAUAUGAGAUUAUGACAUUAAAAUUAAGCCCUAGUGGCAUUGUUGAGGUAAGAUGAAAGAACCUCUCUUCCUAUGUUAAUUAAUUCAUGUAUUUUAAGUCACUAAAGUUUAAUUGCUAACAUAAUAAAAUAAAUGAAUGUUUCAAAAGACUUAUAAUUAACUAUUAUUAAUGGUUACAUAUUGUUAGAUUUAAAUAGAAACAGGAAGAAACAUGUACAAAGAAUAUCCACCAAUAGUUUAGAUAUUUUAGAUAAUAGAAAAUAUAAAAAGAUGAGGUUGAGGGAAGAUGAAAGAACCUCUUUUCCUAUGUUAAUUAGGUGAUGUAUUUUAAGGCACUAAAGUUUAAUUGAUAGCAUAAUAAAUUUUGAAGAAGCCAAAAGACACUCAAUAAAAGGUUGCAUAAUUAAAUAUGAGAUUAUGACAUUAAAAUUAGGCCUUAGUGGCAUUGUUGAGGGAAAAUGAAAGAACCUAUCUUCCUAUGUUAAUUAAUUCAUGUAUUUGAAGCCACUAAAGUUUAAUUGCUAGCAUAAUAAAAUAAAUGUUUCAAAAGACUUAUAAUUAAUUAUUAUUAAUGAUUACAUAUUGUUGAAUUUAAAUAGAAAGAGAAAAAAAAGUACAAAGAAUAUCCACCAAUAUUUUAGAUAUUUUAGAUAAUAGAAAAUAUAAAAAGAUGAGGAAUGAUAUAUAUUAAUAAAGUUACUAUUUAUUAAAUGAGUUAAAUACAAUCAAAUUAAUUAUGAGAAGAUGAAAAGUUAAUUUUUUUAAAAAAAUUCUCUAUUUAUUAGAUAAUAGAGAAUAUAUAAAUAAGCAAAAUGGUGAAGCCACAUCACCUCCUCAAGUCCCAGCUUUAUAUAUAUAUAGAUAGAUAGAUAGAUAUAAUCUUUUAAUAUUUUAACUUAAUUCCCGCAUUAAAAGCUAACUCUUGCAUAAUUACCCUAAAGAAUCAGCUUAACAGAAGUACCAAUUUGUGAUAGUGUACUAUGUGUCGUACGUUUAUGCCACUGGAGCCACAUUCAAUUUGUGCUUGGUCCUCAAUUUUUUUCACGUUCAGUGUAAAAACUAAUUGUAGAGAAAAUCUAGGCCUAGUUAGAUGUAGGUUAGAGGUAGGUAGGUUUUAGGAAUAGGGGUCCUCUUAAUAAUAUACAGUGCUGUAUGAGAUACAGCGGAAGUUUAGUUUUUGUUUUUAAUAAAUUAUAAUUUUGAGUAUGUUUUAAAAUAUAUUUUUAUGUUGAGAGGGAUUUUGAUAGUCUCCUAAAUUAAAUGAAGUUUUUAAUAUUUAGUUAAAAGAUGAGGUAGCAAUGUGUAAUUACCUUGAUAUCUGCCAGCUAUGAGGUUAUACCAUUUAUUUCGGUGACCAUUUAAUGCCUAAAAUCAUCACCCAGCCGUUAUAUUAUUUUUUUAUUUUGACAUUAUAAAUCUAUAAAAAUUUUGUAAUAUAAAAAUUAGUGAAACCUCUUUGAUUUUUAUCGUUUUGGGAGUUUAUGUCUCUUUGAUCAAUUCUAUGAUGGUGCAGUGCAGUCUACACAUAUAGACCAAUAACAUAUCAAUUUUGUUUUUCUAAGCAUUUAGAAGAAAUCAACUCCAAAAUGCACCAUAGAGGAAUUCAAAUUGUAUCCAUCAAUAUUGAUAUGAGAAUUAAAAUAGUUUAUCAUUCUAAACCUCAGAUAGUUUUCAAACAAUUAUAUUAUUUGAUAGUGCCAAGUAUCAUAUUGUCCAUAAAAUAUUGUUGUUUUUAAUAUUAUUUGUACUAAUGACUCAUAUAAUUAAUAAUACGAUUUAAUUCUUGAUAUGGACAACUAUAAGAUAACAAUAUCUAAUUAAAAAUAUUUCAUACAAAUUUCUAUCAAAUUAAUCAAAUUACUUUUUAUGGUUUCAUUUACUCACUAAUUUGAAAUCACAAAAAUUUCUUUGAGUUGUUAUCGGAGCUUAUACAUGAUUACAUGUAACUUUAAUACUUGACGAUAUUGUUUUACUACUAGCAUUAUGAUUUAUGAUACUAUAACUCUUAACAUAUAUUAUUAACAUUGUUAAUAAGUAUAUUUGUUAGCCAGUACUAUUAUUAUUAUUUGUAAAUAGAACACAUAAAUGAUAAUUUUAUCAGGCCUCCAAACUCGAACUCAAAAUAUUUUUUUAACUCAUUUUAUUUUAAUUUAACCAAAUAAUAAAUAAUAAAAAAUAAGACCCUAGGUCUAAACUCACGGCCUCUCUCAAAGCACUAGACUCUACCCAUCAUCACCUCCAAGUUCCCAACGGAGCUUCCUUUCCUGGCCGUGUCCAAAAGACCAAGCUUUGCCGUCAACACCAAAACACCAAGUUUUCAAACUUUUCCGUUAGUUUGUGUGUGCUCCAUUGAAAUUGUAUGGCACAGUGGCCACUGGGCAGAAGAAAACAUGUUAAGGAAAAAAAAUUCUCACAAGAACCAACUAGCUAUAAAAUGCAAGAAAGCAUCAAAUGCGGCAUAUUAUUUAUUAGCAUACCUUUCAAUAUUCCUUUUAUUCACCUCUUGGUUAUCGGCACCGACAACACCUAGAUAUUAAAUAACACGAAGCACUGAAAAUGCAUCUCCAACUCUUUCACCUUCAAAUUUAAAUGGUGAUUUGUCGGGACAAGAAAUCCUUUGGUGAAAACCAUCACCUAUAUCCAAAAAUAUUCAUGUUAUAUCACAAAAAAUCAAUAACAAAAUUAUGCGGAAGCGUACUUGAAUCCAUAACAUUGAAUUGCUCUCUAGGAUUGUGUGGUUGGCCUUCCAAAUCUACAUGUUCUCCUAGAGAAUCCUUUAAGUUUCCUCAAGGCUAUCUUUCUGACGAUUGGAUUUCAGAAAGAAUAUAAAAAUAUGUGUGACCUGAGAACCAUAACCACUUAUCUAGACAACUUUUUUUCUAUUGUCUUUACAUAUUAAAUGCCCAUAUCCUAUUAGAUAUAUUAAAGUCCAUAACACCGAAAACUUAAAUAAACCAUUUUUAAUUGGGCUUAACCUUAUAUGACAGUCUGUAACACAUAAUUAUUCACAUAUAGGCCCAAUAUUGGAUUAAGGAUCCAACAAUAUUGGAUUAAGGAUCCAACAAUAUUGGAUUAAAAAUCCAACAAUCUCCCACUUGUGCUAUAUGUGUAACCUUAUAAUUAUGCUUUGUAAAUGUAACUCAAGAUCGAAAUGCACCACUAAUGUCAUUUUAAUCCUGAAAGAGUCUUUCAAAGAAACUAGAGAGAAAGUUUCUUUAUAGUCAAUGCCUUCUUUCUGUGUAAAAUUGUUUGCGACAAGACGCACCUUGUAUCUCUCUACAUUACCUUUCGAAUCCCUCUUGGUCUUAAAUAUUUAUUUGCAACCAAUAGGUUUCGCACCUUCUGCCAAUGGGACAAGAUCCCAUACGUCAUUGUCUUUCAUGGAUUUUAUCUCCUCAUUCAUGGCAUCAAUCCACUUCUGAGAGUUAAAACUUUUCAUGGCCUAACAUAAAUUGAUUGGAUCAUCUUCCAUCACUCCAAUGUCUACCUCAUGUUCUUAGAGAAAUAUAAUAUACCCCUAAAACUAAGCAAACAAACCCCCAACUCCCAAGCAACAGUCGAACAUCUCCACACACCACCAAAACACUCAUCAUUUCACCUCUCCCAUAUUAUCCAACUAUCACUCAACCUCCCUUUUAUCGAUCUCACAUUCAUCAAACUAUUAUAUUUAUCUAAGUAUUGAAGACAAAAUCAAGCAAUAAACUAAAGAAUAAUAAGAAGUUAUGGUUAGUAUUUCUUCAAUAUCUAUCUUUUAUUUUUUUUGUUGGGUUUCAUACAAAAGAUCCUCAUUUUACUACAAUAUGGGUACAUUAAAUGGUUAAUGUGAGGUCAUAAAUUUAUAAAUUAGUAAAAUUCUAGUAAAAUUCGACAAAAAUGGGUUUUAAACAAUGUUGAAGACGAAACCCAAAAUCCAAGUGACAAGUACCUGUCGCCCAAACUUAGAAUGACUUGUCGUACCGGUCGCUUGGAUGCCGGUAUUCAUCACCCAGAUGACAGAAUACUGCAUAUUUGGCAAUUAGUACUCAUGUCACCCAAUAAACAAUCGCUUGUAAUUUAGGCGAUAGUGCUGUCAUUCGGAUCACCUGAAUUUGUUGAUAAUUGGUUAUUUAAUUAAUAUAGUAAUCUUAUUGUUUGCAGUGUUUUUAAUAAAGUAUUAUUAUUAUUUUGCAUAAGGUUAAUAUAUUUGGUAGUUCUUAUGAUGUAUUUUGAUAUAAUGUGGGAGACUUUGAAGGAUGGUCGUAUGGACUACGAGAAUGGAAAAGUUACUGCAUUUUGGUUCCAAAAAGAUGUAACAUUUGAACAAUUUAUUGCAAAGUUGUAUGAAAUUUUGAAGAAAAGUCCAGAUGAAUAUUCCCUUUUGGUAAAGACAAAUGUGAAAUCAACUCAUCUGACGCAACCCAUUAAUUCACUACCUAUAGACAUAAUGGACGAUGAAAUGGUGAGAGUGAUUAUACGUAUGAACUCUGAUCCAAUUAACUAUGAGUGCACUUCUAUUUAUGUAACAACAAGUCCUAAAGUUCUGAUAGAACUUUCUUUGAUGCCAUCAAUUCAAACUUCAGCCUUUAAACACUACUCCCCAUUCCGCUCUUAUAAUGAUCCUAUUGAUGACAAUGUUGUCAAUACAGAUGUGAAUGCAUGCAAAAACAUAUAACAUUGAGUCCCAAAUGUAUUCUAAACAUUGCAAUAGUCCAAUCAACAUUUUGAAGGAUGUAGAUUGGUUUCAGGAAGUUAAUGAUUCAUCUUAAAAUCAUCUUAUCAGUCCAAGGAUCGGUAGCCAAAGUUGGUUUAUCAGUCUAAUGGCUCGUAGUUGAAGUCGAUCUAGAGUUCCAAGUCCAAUAGACCCACUACAGUUGAAGGCUCCAAUUGUGCCAUCAGAUUGGGUAGCUUCAGACAUGGUUGAUGGUUCUAUUUACAAGGGUAUUUGUGUGGGCCAGACCAAUUAUUCAGCAUGAAAAAACUUAAAGUAUUGUGCUCCACUGAAAUACUGAUCACGUAUUUACCAACCAAGUGUUUUUUGUGCAAAUGUUCCACAUUACCACAUUUCAAUCAUGUCACCAAGCACUAUUCUUAAAGAGAGAAACGUAACAUCUCGUUUGACUAAAAAUGAAGUUGGGGAAGAUAUUCCAAAACCUUUACGGGAAUGAAAUGAAUUUGAAAAGAGAAAAGCUUCUCUAAAUUCCAAGGCCAUGAAUACCUUGUUUUGUGCACUAGAUGAGAAAGAGUUUCAUAGAGUGUCUAGUUGCGAAAGUGCUAAUGAGAUUUGGCACAAACUUGAAGUUGUCUAUGAAGGCACGAACCAAGUGAAAGAAUCUAAAAUAAAUAGGUACACUCGACAAUAUGAAUUAUUCCAAAUAGAACAAAAUGAGAAUGUGUACUCUAUGUAUACUAGAUUUACGGACAUAGUGAACACUCUAGAAGCCCUAGGAAAGACCUUUUCAAAUAGCGAGAAAGUUAAGAAAAUCAUUAGGUUGCUACCUAAGGAAUGGAGACCAAAAAGGACUGUCAUUGAAGAAGCCAAAGAUUUAAAUGUUUUACCUAUUGAUGAUUUAAUUGGUUCUCUCAUUUCAUAUGAAGAAGAUUUGGCAGCUGAAAAAGGGCAUGAGGAAAAGAAGAAAAACAUUGCUCUCAAGGCUUUAAAACGUGAGAGUGAUGAUGAAAGCGAAAUGGAUGAUGAGGAGUUAGCAAUGUUGGUUAGAAGAUUCAGAAAAUUCUACAAAAAAAAUAAUGAGCAGAGAAAGUUCAGAGGCUAUAAGAAUAAGAAGGAGAAGAAGGAGUUAAUCACUUGUUAUGAAUGCAAAAAGCCUGGACACAUACGACCGGAAUGUCCUCUUCUCAACAAACUCAAGAAGAAAGCUAUGGUGGCCACAUGGGAUGAUAACGAUGAGGAAACAAGUGAUGAUGAUGAGCAACAAGAAAUGACAGAUUUAGCUCUCAUGGCCGUUGGGGAAGAAUCAUGUGAUGAACUUGAUGAGGUAAAUGUUCUUCCUACAUAUAAUGAAUUACAUGAUGCCUUUAAGGAUUUGCAUGAUGAGCUGAUGAAGAUUGGUAAAAAGAAUAUAUGUCUUAAAAAGAAGAUGAUAGAGCUUAAAAAUGAAAAUGAAUCAUUUAGUGCAAAGAUUACUUGCCUAGAAUUAGAAAAUAAAACAUUGCAUGAUAGCAUUGUAUUAUUUAAGAAUUCUAGCACUCCACAUGAGCACUUAGAGUCACACUUGAAUGACUUGAAAAAUGAAAAUGAAAUGCUUAGAAAGAAGAGCAAUGAACUAAAUGAAAUUGUGUUAAAAUUCACAAAUGGACAAAAGAUGUUGGACAAUUUGCUAAACUCACAAAAAUGUGUAUUUGACAAAAGUGGCAUUGGUUAUAAACCAAAUUUGAAACAAAAAUUUUACAAGAGUUAUUUUGUGAAGAAUACAUCUAUUAACAAUCAAAUUGUAUGUCAUUAUUGUAAUCAAGAUGGUCAUAUGAAAAAUAGAUGUGCAGUGAAGAGAAAUGCAUAUUAUGGUGUGAAAUGUGUUUGGGUUCCGAAAGGAACCAUUGCUAACUCUCAAGGACCCAAAAAGGUUUGGGUACCUAGAACUUGAGAUUUUUUCUAUAGGGCUUGAAGAAGAAGAAGAAUAAGUGGUACUUGGAUAGCGGUUGUUCAAGACACAUGACAGAGAAUUAUUCUUGGUUUUCAAGUUUUACUAAGAUCGAAAAUGGUGGAGAUGUAUCGUUUGGAGAUAAUUCAAAAGGAAAAACCAUUGGGAUUGGAAAUGUCGGUAAUGUAUCCUCUACUCUCAUUGAAAAUGUGUGUUUGGUUGAAAACUUGAAACACAACUUGCUUAGUAUUAGUCAAUUAUGUGAUAAAGGAUAUAUAUGUUAUUGAGAAUGCAUGUGAUGGGAAAGUUUUGUUUGUAGGAAAUAGAUGUGUUAAUGUCUAUACCAUUAAUAUAGAUUGUGUAUCAACAAAUGAUAAAUGUCUCUCCGCAUUGCAUGAUGAUGGGUGGUUGUGGCAUAGAAGAUUAGGUCAUGCAAGCAUGGAUUUGAUUUCAAAAAUCGUGAAAGAUGAUUUAGUUAAAGGUCUUCCAAAAAUCAGUUUUCAAAAAGAUAGAAUUUGUGAAGCAUGUCAAUUUGGAAAACAAAUCAAAACUUCCUUCAAAAGCAAGAAUCAUGUCUCUACUUCAAAACCACUUCAAUUACUUCACAUAGAUUUGUUUGGACCUUCUAGAUAUGCUAGUUUAAGUGGCAAAUUUUAUGCAUUUGUAAUUGUGGAUGAUUAUUCUAGAUACAUAUAGAUAUUGUUCUUAGCUAAUAAAGAUGAUGCCAUUGAUGCAUUUCGAAUUUUCUAUAAAAAGGUUCAAAAUGAAAAAAGGUUAUUCUAUUACUUGUAUUAGAAGUGAUCACAGUAGAGAAUUUGAAAAUCAUGUUUUAAAAAAUUUUUGUAAUGACUUUGGCAUUGAACAUUAAUUUUCAUCACCUAGGACUCCACAACAAAAUGGAGUAGUAGAGAGAAAGAAUAGGUCUAUUCAAGAAAUGGCUAGGACAAUGUUAAAUGAAAACUCUUUACUUAAGUAUUUUUGGGCCGAAGCCGUCAACACCGCUUGUUAUGUUUUAAAUCGUGUGUUGAUUAGACCUAAUCUUAAUAAAACUCCAUAUGAGCUUUGGAAAGAUAGAAAACCCAACAUUGGCUAUUUUAAAGUUUUUGGAUGCAAAUGUUUUGUUUUGAACACAAAAGAUAAUCUUAGUAAAUUUGAUCCAAAAUCUGAUGUUGGUAUUUUUCUUGGUUAUUCAAAUUCAAGCAAAACUUAUAGAGUUUAUAAUAAAAGAACUUUAGUGGUGGAAGAAUCUAUGCAUGUUACAUUUGAUGAGUCUAACCCCUCAUCUACGGAGAAAGUCGUUGUUGAUGAUAAUGCAGAAGAAGAAUAACAAGGAGAAGCAUCAAAUGACAACCAAGAAGACGCACCACAUGGAAUUCAAAAAGAACAUCAUGAAGAAACAAAUGUAGAGCAAAAUGAAGGUACUUCUCAAACACUCCCCAAGGAGUGGAGGUAUGUUUCCUCUCACCCUAAGGAUGUAAUUUUAGGAGAUCCCUUACAAUAUGUUACCACUAGAUCAUCUCUUAGGAACACAUGUGAGCAUGCUGCAUUUAUUUCUCAAAUUGAACCAAAAUCCUUUGCGGAUGCGGAAAAUGAUGAAUCUUGGAUUAUGGCAAUACAAGAGGAGUUGAAUCAAUUUGAGAGAAACAAUGUGUGGGAGUUAGUUCCUAAUCCAGAACAUCAAUCUAUUAUAGGCACUAAAUGGGUAUUUAGAAACAAAAUGGAUGAAUCCGGUAUGGUUGUAAGAAAUAAAGCUAGAUUAGUGGCUCAAGGUUACAACCAAGAAGAAGGAAUUGAUUUUGAUGAAACUUUUGCACCUGUAGCAAGAUUAGAAUCCAUUAGGAUGUUGUUAGCAUAUGCAUGUCAUAAGGAUUUUAUUUUAUAUCAAAUGGAUGUCAAGAGUGCUUUCUUAAAUGGUUAUAUUAUGGAGGAAGUUUAUGUGAAACAACCUUCUGGCUUUGAAAAUGAAAAAUUUCCAGAUCAUGUGUAUAAGUUAUCUAAGGCUUUGUAUGAUCUAAAACAAGCACCUAAAGCUUGGUAUGAUAGGCUUAAAAACUUCUUGUUGGAUAAUGAUUUUUCGAUGGGAAAAGCGGACACAACUCUAUUUGUUAAGCAUAAGAACCAAGAUAUACUUAUUGUUCAAAUUUAUGUUGAUGAUAUUAUUUUUGGUUCUACUAAUGAGUUGUUGUGUAAAGAUUUUUCAUCAUGUAUGAGCAAAGAAUUUGAGAUGAGUAUGAUGGGAGAGUUGAAGUACUUCCUUGGACUUCAAAUCAAACAAAACGAGGAAGAAAUUUUUAUAAAUCAAGCCAAGUACGUGAAAGAUCUACUCAAAAGAUUUGGCUAUGAUAAUGGAACGACAAAGAGCACUCCUAUGAGCACUACCAUCAAGCUGGACAAAGAUGAGAAAGGUAAGGAAGUUGAUAUCAAGACAUAUCGAGGUAUGAUCGGAUCCUUACUCUACUUGACUGCUAGUAGGCCUAAUAUUAUGUUCAGUGUAUGCUUGUGUGCUAGAUUUCAAUCUUGUCCUAAAGAGUCACACAUGCUUGCUGUCAAACACAUUUUUUUAUAUUUGAUUGGCACCAUUAAUCUUGGGCUUUGGUAUCUUAGGGGAACUCAUAUUGAUUUAACUUGUUAUUCGGAUGCUGAUUUUGCUGGAUAUAAGGUUGAUAGAAAAAGUACUAGUGGAACAUGUCACUUCCUAGGCCAUUCUCUUGUCUCUUGGUUUAGUAAGAAACAAAACUCGGUUGCGCUUUCAACCACCGAGGCAGAAUAUAUUGCCGCAGGUAGUUGUUGUGCACAAAUUCUUUGGAUGAAACAAACCCUUAGAGACUAUGGUAUUAACCUUAAUCAAAUACCUAUCUUGUGUGACAAUACUAGUGCUAUAAAUCUUUCCAAGAAUCCCAUUCAACAUUCUAGGACUAAACAUAUACAAAUUAGACAUCAUUUCCUUAGAGAUCAUGUUCAAAAAGGAGAUGUUGUAAUUAAAUUUGUUUCUACUGAAAAUCAGCUUGCAGAUAUCUUUACAAAACCUCUUAGCGAAGAGCAUUUUAUAAAGAUAAGACAUGACAUUGGAAUGAUGAAUGUUGCAUCUUAACUUAUGUUUUACUACAUGGCUUGAUAUAUUUGUUAUUAUAUGGAUUUAUGCUUCAUGUAUUAGAUAGCUUGAUAUGCUUGUAAUUUUAUGAUUUUAUGUUUCAUGCAUUAAAUGGCUUAUUGAAAAGUUUUAAAUCUCAAAAUGAUUUAAAAUUAAUCAAUUUUAAAAGCAAAAAAUAAAAUGGUGUGUGGAAUACAAGUAUAAGAGCUAGCCAAUAUUCAAUUAGAGACAAAAAGAUUUCCAAGUCUAAACCGGUAUACCACUUCCUCUCAUUCGAAAAACCGUUUUUCUUGUUGAUUUCUCUCGGGACAAAUUCCGGAUAACCAGAUUUUCUAAACUGGUGAGCCGCAUUAUCUUUGGUUGCUCCCGGGUCAAUAUUCGGAUAACCGGAUUAUCAAUUUGGAAAACCGGAUUCACGUAUGGCCUUCACUGGAUUUAACCGGAUAGCCGGUUCUGUAAAUCCGGAAAUCCGAAUUCAAGCUGCACUUUGGCAGCAUUCUGGAUUCAUUCGGCCAACCGGUUAAGGAAACCGGUAAGCCAAUUUUAACUUGCUAUCUUCUGGAUCCAACCGGCAAGCCGGUUCGUGAUAUCCAGAAAACCGAAUUCGAGUGAAGGACUUGCUGGAACAUAAUCGGAUUUCUGGUUAAACACAUCCGGCAAGCCGCUUUCAGCUUUAUAGCUUCUGGACACCAACCGGUUAGCUGGUUAGUGACAUGCGGCAAGCCGGAUUCGAAGGCAUUUUUAAAGUGUUCAUCUUUCUUCCUCAUUCGGCAAUCCGGAUCUUGUUCUCUCUCUAAAAACCGAUUCCUCUCUCUCAUUUUUCACUCCCAAAUCAACAAUUUCUACUCGAUUUUGAUGCAAAUCAGUCCAUAAAUCCUAAUCCCCAUCCGUUCUUAUGCCUAAAAUCACACUCAAAAUCCAUUUUCAACAUCUAAAUCUUUAGAUCCGAAUUUCAACUUAAGGUUUAACUGAACUUUUCUCUCUAUAAAAUUCGUCCCCUCAAGUUGUUUUUUUUAUCCAAAUUGCUUCCCAAAAUUACUUUCAAUCUUCAUCAUCUUCAUUUUCUUUGCUGUUUUCAACUUCAAAUCCAUCAAAAUCACAAUGUCAAGCUCUCGGCCGGUUAGAAGAAAAGGCAAAGAACCGGUUCAACCAACCAACCGGUCACGGCAAGCAGGGGGCACCUCUAAUCAAUCCAAUUUCGAGUCCACACACUUUCAGAACAAGAACCAUCUGGCCAAACAUUUUCACGAACAGUUCCUAACUCGUGAGGUACUCAAAACCUUUUUUGUUUUACCGGAUUGGUUAAAUCAUCUUAGUAUUAGCAAUAGAACUUUAUUGCAAUUAUUGGAAGAUGUUAGUUGGCUUAAUGCACUUGUUGUUGAGGAAAAUGUAUAUCCUGACAUGGUGAAAGUGUUUUACUAGAAUAUGGAUUGUUCCGCGGAGAAAGAGAAUCGAGUAAUCACCACAGUUGGAGGAGUUUUGAUUGAGUUUGAUGAUUCGGAGUUGAACUCCAUCCUAGGAUCUUCCAAUGAUGGCCUAGAAAUUUUUUCACCUAGGAAACCUCCUGACAUUGAUGACUAUGUUUCUAUUGAUGCUGUUAAGAAUAUAUGUCAUCGUGUCAACCUUUCCGAUGAAGAUUGUACUAUCCAUUUUCGCACCCAAUGUCUUUGUCUUCAAACUCGGAUAUUACUUCGUUUUAUUCAGAGUAUUGUCCUCCCUAGAUCAGGCCAUUUGGAUGAGGUCUCUCAUAUGGAUGUCGCCUUGAUUGAUUGUAUUCUUAGACAUCGUCCAGUCGACUUAGGAUAUACCAUUGUCUGAAACAUGCUUAGUAUACCUAAGUUGAUUACCCGUUCCCUUCCAUAUGGUCAUUUCAUUACCUGAAUCCUGAAAUUUUUUGAUGUACCGAUUAAAGAAUCGCCGUGUAGACCAUCUAAGGGUAUCGGGGAUGAUGCUAUUUUCGGCUCAGGCUUUGAGUGGAAAAAUGGCACUUGGGUCAAAUACACUGAGAACAAGUUUACCUUUCUUGCUCCAAGUGAUGAUCGGCCACUUAAUGUUGUGGCUCCAGCCGAUCAGCUAACCAUUUUCUCACUCUCAUUUCGGGGGCAGUGUAGACGCCGAGAUCCUCCCGUGAUUGCUUCACCUCCACAGCCUCCUACCUCUGAAGAUGGUACUCUUCAGCAGCUUAUGGAUGAGGUGCGGACACUCUCGGUGCGGCAGACUGAGUUUCAGCAACAGCAGCAGCAGCAGCGGCAGCUACAACAGUAGCUCAUUCAUGGACAACGCCUUCUCUUUGAGCACUUUAGCAUUCCAUAUCCGUAUCCACUUCCAUCACCACCUCCAUAGUCUCUUAUGCUUGUAUUUGGACACACCUACAUUUCAUUUUCUGCAUUAUGUUCUUUUAUUUUCGACUAUAUGGAUGUUUAUUAUGCUUUUGGAUUAUGUAUUUGUUUUGGAUGAUAUGGAUUGUUUUGAUUGUUUGUUAUGGAUUAUGGAUAUUUUUGAACUAAUGUUCUUAUAUUGCGAUUUUGAUGAUUGAUAGAGGGAGCUCUUAUUCUCUUAUUCUUGUAUUCUUUUUUAUGAUGAAGGGGGAGAAUAAUUUAAUAUGAGUUAUAAAAAGUGUUAUAAAAAUAUGCAUUUAUCCAGGGGGAGUAUGCAUGUAUGCAGGGGGAGUCUUUUUAAAUAAUUUUCAAAUAAUUUUUUUUUACCUUGCAUUGAUUAAGGGGGAGCUUUUCAUAACUAGAUUAAAUUUUUAUAAUAUGUUUUGUCAUCAUAAAAAAGGAGGAGAUUGUUAGCCUAUAUGGCUAUAGAUAUUGAUUUUGAUGAUAACAAACCACAUGUGUUGAUUAAACAAAGAUUUAUGAAUUGUGCUUUUACAAUAAGAAAAUAAUGUUAUGGAAUUAAAGUAUUUUGGACUAAAAUGAAAGUAUUUUAAAACCUUUGAUAUUGUUUUAAAAUUUCAGAUUUGGACCUAUUUUAAACUAUUUAAAUAUUUUAGGUCAUUCUAUAAUUUCACAUAGUUUGGGUGAAAUCAUAAUUUCAGAAAGUUUUGGGAUUGACAAAGCAUUACUUAAAAAUUCCGAAAUUGGACCUAUAUGAAAGCUUUCAUAACGUUUUGGGCCAUAAUAUAGUUUUAUAACGUUUUAGGGUAAAACUGUAAAAUUAGAAAAUAUUUCACUGUAGCAAUUACUAUAGCAAGCGGCUAGCCGGAUCCUGACAAACAAUAGACCGGAUUCGGGCAGGAUGUUUCUGGAACUUAAACGGCUUACCGGAUUUCACAAGCGGCAUACCGGAUGUUCAGAAAUUCAAAAUUGUGGCUGUAACGGUAACAUUAAGUGGCUAACCGGAUGUUCAUAAACGGCAAGCCGGUUAUGACCAAAAUGUGCAUAACGGCUAGUUUUUGAGCUCAAACUAUAUUAACUCAAAUCCAACUCAUUUUUAAGCUCUCCAACAAGCAUAAACAAAAAGCACACGAGAUAUCUUGAGCUUCUAAUUUGCAAAACACAAAACAUUGAAUCAUUACUUGUUCUUCAUUUUUGAAUAUCUACUCUUUGAGUGAGCUUUAUUGUAACUUUCAUUUCCUCAUCUCAAUUGUAAGAGUUUAAGUGUGUGAGACACUUAAAUGAAGAGAUUGGGAGAUAAUCGCUUUGUUGUAAAGGUUCAUUGACACAUUGAAGUCAAUUGUAAAUGGUUGAAGCCUUGGAAAGACUUGGAUAGUGAAAUCCUCAAGCUUGGAUCGCUUGGAGGCGUGGACGUAGGCGGGGUUUGCCGAACCACGUAAAAUUUUGUGUGUUUGUUUCUCUUCUACCUUACUCAUUAGUUAUUGUGCUUUUAUUGAACUUAUUGCUUUCAAUUUUUAUUAAGACAUUAGAUUGCUUGUUGUGUGGAUUGGCUAGGAUAAUUUUUAAAAUUCCAAUUCACCCCCCCUCUUGGGUUGCACACUUAAAUUUCAAGCUUAACAUGGCCAAAUUUUAGGCAACACGAGCAACCACUCAUGUUCUUGAUUGGUGGGCACACCAACCUUCUCUUUAACCUCAAAAUAAUUCUAAGUUUAGAUCAAUAAUUUCUUAAAGACAUUUAAAUAAAUACUUGGUGUGCCAUUUAUUAGAUAUCUUAAUCUUAAGAAAACUCUAAUAUUUUCAUACCCAAUACACAUCCUAAUGAUUAACUAUGAUCAAUGAUGAAUCAACUAGGCAAUUUAAACAAAAAAUUAUUCUAAAUUAAUGAAACAAAUUGUGAAAGUACCUAAGCCGCCAAAACCGUAAGUGAAUAAACUUGUUGGAACCAAACUAUAACUCACGUAAUUGCCAAUAGAAGUGAAAGAAAUUGCUACCGGAAGUGAAGGUUACUCUAUCAGAGCGAUGUAGCUAAAUUGGGCCGAGUAUUGAGAGGUUUUUCCCAUACUCUACUCGUGCGAUGAUGAUCCCGACGAGUAUUGAGAGUUAUUUCCCCUGGGUACUAUUUGGUGCAGUUUGUGAUGUAUGUAUGUAUGAAUUCCAUGUUUGCUGAUGUAUGUUAUUCAAUGUGGAGUUAUGUCACAUAAUUAUGCAUAAGCGCUAGUACACUAUAUUAUUAUUAUUAUUUUAAUAUAUAUAAUUACAUCCACUCACUGAGCCGCAAGCUCACUAUUUUCCUAUUUACCCCUUUCCUCCCAGGAUUUCGCAGGAUUUCGUUCAGAUCAAUUCUAGUUAAUUAAGGUUGGGCCACGAGAUGUAUUGCUACAUGUCUUGCAUUUUGAGCACGUUUAUGUUGCUUAUGUUUUAUAUGUAAAUAUACAUGAAAUGUCAAUAUGUACAAUGAGACAUAAGCUAUGCAAGUUUUGAAUUCAUAUAUGGUUUUAGAAAAGGCACAUAGGUGGUUAUGUGUUUAUAGGAAAGACCAUAUUUUAUACACAUUUUCAUGAAUUAAAUUUGUGCUACAAGUUUUAAUUAUUAGUCCGUACGAUUCACCUCAAUUCUAACAUGCAGUUUGGGGCGGGUCGUGUUAGAUUUGCCCUUGAGCUCAGUGGCAACGGCUUUAUAUUAUGGAGCAAGUUUCUUGCUCUGGGGGGCCCAUGGUGCAUAAAAAAGGACCAUCACAUGCUGAUUCUUGGCUAUAACAUGACUAAAAUUCUUGUCACUCGGUUUCACCGCAUCUUCUUUUUCAUCAAUUGCCGGCGGCAACUUGUGCUUUUGAUCAUUGAAACUGUUGUAAGAAUCUGAAAGUUCAACAGUGUUUCCGUAAGAGACUGGAGGAAGUUUCUUGAAUACGGAAACACACAAUACAUAGCCUCCGUCAUAAUCUAUUUUGUAAACACAGAAAGGCGAAAGACAAAAAAGAACGAACAAAAGAAAAAUUGUAGUGGAGAGCAUAAGGAGAUAAGCUUUUGUUGACAUUGUUUGAGCAGUUGGCCUUGUAUUUGAGAUCUUCAAAUAAUUGUUAGCUAAUGACAAGAGAGAAGUAAUUAAAUGCUCCUUGUAUUAUUUAUUUUCAAAGAUGCAGACAAAAGGCUAAAAAAAUUUUUUUUUUAAAGUAUUUUGACUUCUAUUCAGAAAUUACAUUAUUAACACAUUGUUGAUAGAAACAAAACCCUCUAGCUUGACAAAGCACAAUCGAUAAAGACAAGAGCCACGUCUCUAUCUCAUAAAACCAGUGUUUCUGUAAACAUCACUAUGGAAUAGUACUAUCACCGAAUCUUGAUCAUCUCUUAUUACAAUCUUUAAAAUGCAUCUGCUUGGACUUUGUAUUAAAAACUUUCUGUAUGUGAAUGGAAUGACUACAUUUGUUCGCAAAUUUAAUUAAAUUCUCCAAUUAGUUCUUUCUUGAUCAACUUCAUUAUUUCAGAGGCUUAUGCAGAAUUACACAAAUUUACCACUAAUCGGAGCAAUAAUGUCGAAGACAUCUUGUUACAAAUAUCACAUACUAAUGAAAACUUGCUUCUCUUGCUUCCUUAUUUCAAUUGGGACCAAAGUGACAUUUCUUUUGAGUUCAAAAAGGGAAAACAUCUCUGUGUACCGUUUGUGUCACGUUCUCUUAAUAGAAAAAUAUAACCCCAAAAGUUCUUGAUUUUGGUAGUUUGGUCUUUGUAUUAGAACUUGCAACCUGUUUCAUGAGAAAAAAUAAUAAAAAUUUGCUCUUAUUUUUCUUGCAAUCUAACAAGGUGCUUAACAAUUUUGGUUACCAAUUGAUGUUUAUCUAUUGAAUGCAGUUAUCAAUGAGUUAAAUGAAUAUAAUUAAAGGUCUAAUACAUAUUUUUAUAUAUAGAAUAUAUGCCAUAAUUUAAUGUGACCUCUGCCGUACUCGGAGCAAAAGAAACCCCUGCUAAUGGCUGCAUGUUUAUACAACUCCUCAACGCAAGCGAUAUCGUAAACGACGUCGUCCCAGUUGUGGCAUAACAACAUCGUCACCUCGACUUCCUCGAACCUCCCUUGCAAAUCCUUCAACACGCGCAGCAACUCCAGUACAGUCGCCACACGCGGCCUUGGCACCAUAUUUAUUUAUUUAUUAAUUCUAUUAAAUCCCAUUUAAUUUAAAUUAAAAAAUAAUUAAAACAAAAGUCACAUUACUUGUUUUUGUGUUAUAGGGGCCCACCUUGUAAAAUAACACAAGGUCCCUUACAGUUAUAGUUAUCUUGCUUAUUAAUCCAGUAGUGGUGCAGUCAAUUAAAUAAGCUAACUCGAAGAUCAUUUGGGAACAUACAAUAGUGGCUAUAAUAAUUAGGCAUGUAAUUAAACUAGCCCAAUUAUUUAAUUCCAAAUCUACUCCACUAAAAGAUUGGAACUGACCUCCAUAAUUGUAUACUCGAAUAAUAAUUCGUCCCAAGACACAUCAAUUUCUUUACUGCAUAAUCCUUUGUACUAUAUCAUUAAUUAAAUCGAUAUCUUAAUUGUCCAAUUGAUUUAAUUACAUCUUAUUCCUUGAUACUUAUUGAUUUUCUCUAAUGAUCAUUUUCAACAUACUAAAUAUGUUGACACACUCUGGCCAAAGAAUUCUAUGAUCAAGUGCUGAAAAUCCAUCAAGAGAUGUGUUGUACAAAUUCUAUAUUGUUAAUCUAUAACUCCAAUACUCAUAAUUGCUCCCACCAAGAUACUGGGUAAUCUUGACCACAAUUGUGUGUCUUUCCCAUUGGUAACUCAAAUGGAAUAACAAUUACAAUCAUGAAAUCAUAACUAAGUUAAGAUUAAGAUUACGGUAAAAGCAAUGCCUAUGAGAUUUAAUAAGUCUGACAGUUAUUUCAAGGUUAAUUAAAUCUCAUAUGUGAUCUAACUCAAUGUAGUCAAUCUACAUCAGUAAAUUCAUACAUGAUUAAGAUAAAUUAUUCAAUGAAUUUACUACAGUCUAAACAUAAAUAGAGCGCCCAACUUUAUUUAUCAACUACGAAUUUAAUUUAUCUAAUCAUAAAAUGACUUGUAUUUAUGUCUUCUGUGAAUCCAUAUGAUGAUUACAUAAAUACAUAUAAUAUGAUUAAACGGACCUUAUUCAAAAUAUUAUACAAUUGAAAAUAUCUCAAAUAUUUUAUUAAUCAGAAAAUAAAUUAAUAUGCUUUAAAAAAGCAUAUAAUCCCAACACUAUGGCCCCACCCAAGGACUCAAAAUAUAAAAACGCGGGCAAAUCCGGCGCAUGUCUUGGAAUGACAUACCAUAUGUAAUGCUAAUUAUUUGGGAUGAAAUUUAAAAUAAAAUAAAUUUAGUAUGCUUACUCUUGCAUAAAACAUUUCUUCUUUUUUUUUUUGGUAGAGUUAUUUUGCAACUAAUAAUUUAAUUUAUAAAUAUAUUUUUGUUUUAUCAAUAAUAACAUUUAAUUUGCAACUGUUGGGGAUUCCUAUUCCCUAGUGUUGGCUCGAGGAGAGCUUGGCAACAACCAUUUCAACGAAUCUAUGACAAGUUUUAUCGUGACAAUUGAUUUCUUUGCACUUGUUAAUUGAUUUCUUUGCACUUGAUAUACAAUACAUAUCAAAUUAUAUCAAUUUUAAAGCUAUAUACUAAGAAUUCUAACAUAAUCAAAUGCAGAUAGGAGCAAUUAAUUGACAAUCAACAUGCCAAUUGGAAAAGUUAAACCUGUGUAAGGAAUUUGUUGAGUAUCCGCAACAUAGUAGAAAUAUGGUAAAGUUAUGAUAAGACAACUGUGACAAAAUAAUAUGUCAAUAUUCAAUUAUUGAAUAUAAAUUAUGACUCUAUUUGGUAUUGAGAUGUUAUGAUAUAAAAAAAUGAUAAAGUAUGAAUACGUAAUAAUUUUGAAAGUUAUUAUGACUUUUUAUUAUAUAGAUAAAACAAAUUUGGUUUUUAGAUUAUAGCAGUAAGUAUUUAUUAAGCUAAUUAGAGUUAGAAUUUAAAAGCUAUAGCUUCCAACAAUAAUUAAGCAUGGCGAAUAUCUAAAAACAAGUCUACUAGAAAAACUUUUAUUUCUACAAAAUAAAAAAUGCAUGUGAUAUGUAAUUUUUAAGGAUUCGAAGUUAUCGCUGCAGAGGAAACAAAAGAAUUUUAAAAAGAGAAUUGCUUUAUGAAAUAAUUUGUUUGCAUCCUUUAUUCAAACAGCUUUAGGCUUUUUAUAAGAGCCAAUUGGAAACACGCAAUCUACACUAGUAAUUGCACUUGGAACAACAAAAGACACCCUAGACAAUAACACAUGAAAUACAAGAAAUAAUAGGAAACAUGGGUAAUAAUUUUGCACACAUAGUUAAUAGACCACUUGUCAAGUGCCCACUUAUUUCAAAGCUCUUAUUACUAAGUCCUAGACUCCCCUUCUCAAGCACAUGGCUAUCAGGUACCUGGGAAGCUUGUUAAAUGCAUGGUUCUUGCUCAUCUUUGGGAGACAUAUCAGCAUGCUUGGAAAGAGAUACACGCAAGACAAUCAACACAAGAUUUGCUUUAUUUCUAGGAUGCAUGGGCAAGCACUCUACUUAUAGAACUCCAUAACCCAGAGAUUACCAAUAGCACGUUCACAACUCAUCCCACUAAAACCAGCGCCAGUAGCCAGGGUCAUGAAUUCAUGCCUUGUUCUCUCCUUUCCAUCGGGUCUUUGAAUCAUCAUAAGCACGUCAAAAUGGAAAUUUGAUUUUGAUUCAAUGCUUGUAUUAGGAACUUCUGGAAGCAUUAACUCCACAACGAUUACCUUUCCAUCUUCUGGAAUGCUUUUGUAGCAAUUCUUCAACAACUUCAAGCAAUGUUCAUCAUUCCAAUCGUGCAGUAUUGUUAGAGUGCAAUUUAUGCACUAGUUUUGCAUUGCUUACUUCUUUUAAUAUCGAUGUUUUGCACUUAAUAAUAAUGAUUUACUUGUGUUUUACUUUUAUAGGUGCAAUUCUAUUGAUUUGUGAUAAAAUUGAGGUAUAAGAUGAUGUUUAAAGAUGAUUGUUCUCUUGGAGAAAUUAUGAGCGGUAGAAGAACUUUGUUGAUAAGGCGUGGGCGCGUGCUGUCAACUGCAAACCUGCAGUUUUUAGUUUAACGUGUUUUGUAUUUUUGGUUAUUUUUGUAAUUACGAAUUUAAUAUUUCAGAUAUUAGUAUUUUAUUUUAAAUAGAAUUCUAGAGUAGAAGAGAGAGAGAGUAUUUAAGGGAGGAAUCUAUUGUGAAAAAGGGGGAUUUUUUGGAGAAAAAGAAAGAAACCCUAGAUCUUAAUUUUUCUCUUAUCUCUAUAAAGAACUAAACCUAUUUUUCUGGUUGAAGGAUAAUGAAGCUUUGAUUCAUCACUACUGUGAGAUCUUUCUUGUGCUUUAAUUGUUUUAUUGCUUUUUGGGUAUUUGUUUAUUCUCUGAAUUAUUUUCAUGAUUAUGUUUGUUAAUUAGGUAAUUGGCCACUAUUUAAUUAUCAACUUAAUCUAUUGUCAAUUAAAGGAUUCAUCGUAUGAAGAAUUUAAUGUUUGUGACAAAUAACAUAGCAGAGAGUUGUGUUGUGAGAAUAAACAAUCUAAUUUAAAUGAAUCAUCAUAUGUGUUGAUUAGGAUUUGGGUCUCUCUGAUUUUUCAGGCUGUCAAUUGAUUAAAUCCUAUGAUCGUAUCUAGGGUUGUCUAUUGAUUAGGGAAAUAUCCAACGGUCGUACCUUGGUUAUCGACUAGUUAAGGAGAGAUUGGCUAUUAGAGGGUCUCAAUAGCUAUAACCGGUGUAUUCAUAAGUAAUAAUAAUCUAUAUUUGAAUCAAUGAUCAGUAGUCGAAUCAAGCUGAGUUAAUUCCUUCAACCAUAGCUUUCUCCAAUUUGAAUUACAACUUUAAUUUGCAUUCUUGUUAUUUUGAUUUGAUUUUUAUUAUUGUCAAAAAUUCCCCCAUUUUACGUUUUACGUUUCAAAAAGAUUUAAAUAAUUAUCGAUCUCUGUGGACACGACCCUGCUCAAUCACUAUACACAAUUUAUUUAGAGUAGGAAUUUAUUUUUGUUGGCUUCGACAACCAUCAAACUUUGGCGCCGUUGCCGGGGAUUGGUGUCAUUUAUUUAAUCAUUUUUACGUUUUACUUGGUGUAUGGUUCGUUCUUCUCGUACAGGUACACUUUCGUUUGAUCCUGAAAUUGAGAAGACAGCUCGCUAGUUUAGACAGCAGACGAAGCGAGCUAAGCAACGGUCCUCGUCGCCUUUGCUUUCUGAAAUAGAUACAGUACCUAAUUCAGUUGAAUCAUCUAGCGAUUUAGAAGAACAAAUGAUGGAUAGAACUGCACCUAUAGAAAGAACUCUUAGAGAGUUAGCUGAACCAAACUUGAAUCAGCAACCACUCUGCAUUCAAUAUGUAGACUUAGAGGUAAAUUUUGAAUUAAAGUCUGGUCUUAUUCAUUUGUUACCCAAGUUUUAUGGUUUUGCAGGUGAAGAUCCUCAUAAACAUCUUAAGGAGUUUCAUGUUGUGUGUUCAAGUAUGAGACCACAAGGCGUGACUGAAGAGCAGAUUAAGCUGCGUGCUUUUCCGUUCUCUUUAGGUGGGUUAGCUAAAGAUUGGUUGUACUACUUGCCUCCUGGAUCGAUUACAACGUGGAAUGGUUUGAAGAAGCAGUUCCUCGAGAAGUACUUUCCUACUUCAAGAGCUGCUAACAUCAGAAAAGACAUUUGUGGGAUCAGACAACUUCCUGGGGAGACUUUGUAUGAGUAUUGGGAGCGAUUCAAACAAUUGUGUGCCAGCUGUCCUCAGCAUCAGAUUUCUGAUCAACUUCUUAUUCAAUAUUUUUACGAAGGACUAUCAUUGAUGGAUAGGAGUAUGAUAGAUGCUGCUAGUGGAGGCGUGUUGGUAAACAAGACCCCUACUCAAGCAAGGGAGCUGAUAUCAAAUAUGGCUGCCAAUGCACAACAAUUUGGCAACAGGCAAGAUCUCACUUCAAGGAAGGUGAAUGAGGUAAAUAUUUCUUCUGUUGAAUAACGUUUAGAUAAACUUACUUCUCUUAUGGAAAAGUUUGUUGUAGGUAAUGUGCAACAGGUGAAGACUUGUAGUAUUUGUUACAAUAUGGGUCAUUCAACUGAUAUGUGUCCUACACUUCAAGAAGAACCCAUUGAACAAGCCAAUGCAGUUGGAGGAUUUCCAGGCAUGCCUCAGAGGAGGUAUGAUCCUUAUGCACAAACAUACAAUCUGGGAUGGAAGGAUCAUCCCAACUUCAGCUAUGGAGUUAGGCCGUCAGGAUUCCCACAACAGUAUCCACCAAGACAACCAGCACCUCCACAGUCAACCUCCAAGCCAGGUAUAUCUCUUGAAGAAAUUGUUAAAUCGCUUGCGACUAACACUCAAUAAUUUUAGCAGGCAACUACAGCAAGCAUUCAGAACUUGGAGAACCAAAUGAGUCAAUUGGUGACUACAGUGAGCCGUCUGGAGUUUCAAGUAUUAGGGAGAUUGCCUUCACAAUCUGAGGUGAAUCCAAAGCAAAACGUUAGUGCUGUCAUCCUUAAAAGUGGGAAAGAGUUGCAAGAGCCUAGUAAGAAAGUGACAAAGCAUAUAGAAGAUGAGCUUGAGAAGAAUGAAUUGAUGCCUCAAUCUCAAGAUGCGCAACCCAACAGAGUGAAACCCCUACAUAUUGUGAUACCUCCUCCUUUUCCAAGCCUGUUUGUAAAAUCCAAGAAGGAGGAACAAGAGAAAGACAUCCUUGAGACAUUUCGCAAGGUUGAGGUAAAUAUUCCUUUAUUAGAUGCUAUAAAACAAAUACCUCGAUAUGCUAAAGUCCUUAAGGAACUAUGCACCUCUAAGAGAAAAUUAAGAGGAGAUGAAAAAGUUCACAUGGGGGAGAAUGUUUCAGUAGCUCUCCAAAAGAAACUACCUCCUAAGUGCAAGGAUCCAGGCAUGUUUACAAUCCCUUGUAAAAUUGGUAGUGUUAGAAUUGAAAAGGCUUUGUUAGAUCUAGGAGCUUCUAUUAAUGUCAUGCCUCGUUCCAUUUAUUCAUCUUUGAAUGUUGGCCCAUUAAAAGAAACUGGCGUGAUAAUUCAACUAGCUGAUAGGUCUAAUGCAUAUCCUGAUGGGGUAUUAGAAGAUGUCUUAGUACAAGUUAAUGAGUUGGUUUUUCCUGCUGAUUUUUAUGUACUUGAUAUGGAAGAUGAUAACUCCUCUAAUUUUGUCCCAAUUUUGCUAGGAAGACCUUUUCUUAAGACUGCUAGGACUAAAAUGGAUGUACAUAAAGGGACUCUCACUAUGGAGUUUGAUGGAGAGGUUAUAGAAUUCAAUAUGAAUGAUGCCAUGAAAUAUCCUAGUGAGGAACAUUCGGUAUUUUCUAUGGAUGUUAUUAACCCUAUAGCGCAGGAAGUUUUUUAUAAGGAAAAGACGAAGACAUUUCAUGAUAGAAUGAUUUUGAGAAAGGAGUUCUCUGUUGGUCAAAAAGUUCUUCUUUUUCAUUCUAAGCUUAAACUUUUUCCGGGUAAAUUACGUUCUUGCUGGGUUGGACCUUUUAUUGUUACUAAUGUUUUUCCUCAUGGUGCAGUUGAGAUUCGGAGUCCGACCUCUGACAAAGUUUUUAAGGUUAAUGGUCAUCGCUUAAAACGUUUUUAUGAAGGUUUUUCGGUGAAUAUUGUGGAGGAUGUGGCUCUCGAGAGUCCCAAUUAUAGAGAUUGAUGCAUAAAUGUGUCUAGCCAAAGACAUAAAAUAAAGGCGCUUUUUAGGAGGCAACCCAAAAGAUUUAUUUAUUUUGAUUUUAGUUAUAUCUUUUAUUUUUAAUUUUGAUUCAGAUUUUUUUUAAUAAUGCUUUUGCUUAUUUUGACCAGAAGAAAAUUUUCGAUAAGGCGUGCCCACGUCUUAACUAAUAAGUACUUCUGUGAUUUUUAAAGUAAAAUAGUUUUAAGGCGUGCCCACGUGCUUAUUAGAAAAGUACUUCUGAAAUUUUUAGUGUCUCAAAGUGAUUCAUCACUUAAAAAAAAAAAUCACAAAUCACUGUUCAUAAAUCCCUAAUUCAAAAAAAAUAAAAUUCACUGUUGAUUAUCUUUUUCUCCCGCAGCAACCAGCAGCUGCAGCCCACGCAGUAGCAGCAACCGUGCGAAAUCAGCAGCAAUUGUGCGCGCAACACAUCCCACGCAGCAGCAGCAGCCGUGCGCCCCGCCAGCAGCACGCAACACAGCAGUGCGCAAGCAGCCCCAAGCCGCGCAGCAAGCUCCAACUGAGCAGCAACGCAACGCAACCAGCCUACGCACUGUAUUCCAGCCGGGUAAAUCGAAAUCCGUGAGUGCAAUUAUUGUAACAAUGCUGAAGAGGAAAGCAUCUAUUUCCAAGUCAUCGAAAAAGACACCCGUCGCAAAGAAAUCUAAGAUUGCCGCUCCCACUAUGGUUCCAUGGAAUACAAUUUUAGAUUCACGCCAUGCCGUGAGACAAAGAUCGAAGCAUGGAAAAGGCAUGAGUGUUUUGCCACUUGCGGAAUCCAAUUUCGGAGGGUGCCUCGCAUUCGCAACUCAACAAGAGAAAGAGAGGUACAAAGACAUUUCCACGCGCAAAAUACUUCCAGCUAAGUAUAUUCAUUACCCGACUCUUGAAAAAUUGAAUGUUAAGGAUAAUUUUGAUUAUUUGAUAGAUAAGAUUGGGUUGCGUAAGUUUAUUGAUGUUGAUUGUUUGGGUUAUGUUGAGUUGAUUAGGGAGUUUUAUGCUACUUUUCAAUUUAAUAUGCCGAAUGAUUUUACUUUACAUACCCCGGAUGUCAUUAAGUUUAGGUUAAUGGGACGAAAUUUUUCACACUCUAUCAUGGAUUUUAACCUAGCUUUAGGAUUCAUUGAUGAUGAUUAUUCUUCUAGUGAUGCAUAUUUAGGAACAACUUGUGACUUUAGCGAAAAUUUUGAGCCUUAUGGUCUUUGGCGUAAUUUAUCUGUUGAUCACAAUGCCUAUGACCCAAGUAAAUCAAAGAGUUCUUUCUUACGUGAUCAUGUUUUGAAAUGUGUGCAUCGAUUCUUAGCAUAUAUUUUUUUAGGCAAGAAAGAUCACUCAGGAGUUUUCUCUAAAACUGAAUUUUAUUUUAUCUGGUCCAUGUUAAAUGAUGUAAGGCCUAAUUUAGGUUUUUGGUUAGCGGAUCAAUUUCAAAGUGUGCUUAAACGGUAUAGGACUUUAUUUCUUGGUCCAUACAUUACUUUGUUAGCUAUAAACCUAUGUGUGCUUAAUCCCGACAAUAAUGAUUUACAUCCUGCUUGCAAAAAAGAAUUUUUGGAUAUGUCUGUGUUUGAAAGAACAAGUGUGGUCGAAUUCAAGGAGGGGAGAUUUCAGUUUACUGAACCAGGACCCACUCAACUUCCGAAGAAGCUUUAUGCUAGGAGUGGUGCUACCUCUGAUGACGAGUUUGACGACGACACUGCUGCCCCGCCAACUAUUCCUUCUACAUCCGCACCAUCUUUGAGCAUUCAGUUAGAGAAAAUGGAGCAUAAGCUGAACAAGAUGGAGCAGAAUUUGGCCGCAUACUUCGAGAGUGUGGGAUUUACCCCACCAUUUUCGCCAAACCCAUAGACGUUAUGUGGAUCAAAGCUCACAAUUCAGGGAAGUUUCUUUUUACCCUUAAUCUUUUAUCCUUACGCUUUAAUUUUUAUGUGAGCUUUGAUUAUCUUACAUUGGGGACAAUGUAAGUUCUUGGUGUGGGGGAGGGAUUUUUGCAUUAUUGAUGCCUGGAAUUAUUAUUUUCACUCUACUCAUCCUUAAAUGAUUUUGGAGUUAGUAUGCUUCAUAUAUUAUUAUUUUUCUUUUCUUUUCCUUAUCACUACUUUUUUCCCAUCUAUCUCAAAUUAUUCAUGUCUAUUUUUAUUUUACCAUACUCUUUCAUCACUCACAUUUUAUCUUUCACUUUUCAUAUUACUACAUACAUCUUUCUCACUUCUUAUCAUUUUUACCUUUUCUUUUAUAUAUCACUCAUACCUUCUUCUCAUUCUGCACCACUAUUGAUGGUUGAUUCAUUUGAAGAGUGUACAUGAUUUGAUGGCAAAUUUACCUGUAGUUGCAUCACAAACCGAGAUAUAUUAUGAAAGAAUUUUGAGAAAAUAUAUCAUUGCUCACCUCGAAAUGCUGUUGCAAUACAGGUGAAUGUUGAUGCAGUGUUGUGUAUAUCUUCUCAAGUAAGCCUAUGGUGCAUCCACUUGAUCGCCCAGCAGAUCCACCUGGAAUCCAAGCCACGUAAUGAAUCUUAAGAAAAUUUGCUUGAAACACACUUAAAAUGUACAUUCAUCAAAUCCAAGUUAAAUUCAGUUUGUUUAACCAAAAAAAAAAAAACUAAGGUGAAUAAAACUGAAAUUGCAGCUCAAAACCUCAGUUUCAGCCUUCUGGAGAUUCUUGCUUCUUCUGAUAAAUGCUGUUCUGUAGAGUAAUUCCCGUUUUUGUAUUGAGGAAACAAGUUGUUGUAUUAUGAAGCAAAUCAGUUGGUAAAACGACCAGCCGAUGUCGCGUUUUGGAAAGCAACACACUUACUCUUUUGAACGACAUGAAUGAAGGUCGUUUUGGUUUAAGUGAUGCACGAGAGUUUCACGUGCACGAUAAGUUGCUUUCUUGGUUCGUUAGAAUCAGUUAAUUUACAUGCCAGUCACGUGGGUUUCUGGGUUCGUUACUGAUUCAUUAACAAGCUGUUAUAUGCAGCUGAUUCUAACAACAGAAAGAGAGUGAGAGUGAGAGCUAUUGUGAGUUGAGGAGAUUGAAACAAAGGCUUCUUGAAAGACUCUGUAAUCAGCUUGAAAAGCUCUCUGUAACUUCUGUGAACAAUCAAUAGAAUUGGGUUCUGUUUCUCCCGUGGAUGUAAGCUAGAUUGAAGCUAGCUGAACCACGUUAACUCUUGUUCUUUUCUUAAUUCUUUUUAGUUCUAGACUCUUUGUGUAUUCUGCUGGAUUGAUUCUUGGUGCAUCUUGUUUGUUUGAUUGUGAUCUUGGAGAAGUGUUUCGAGUUGAUUGGAUAAUUAGUCACUCUUAAACACUACAAUUGGUAUCAGAGCCUGGAUUCCAAAUCAGACACAAGUAUGGCUAGUUCAAAGAUCGAUCUAGAGAAGUUUACAGGGAAGAAUGACUUCAACAUGUGGAAGGUUAAGAUGGAGGCACUACUGAUCACUCAAGGGCUAGGUGAUGCCUUAGAACCUAUCAUCAAGAAAGAAGGAUUAGAAGCCUCUACAUCAUCAUCAUCACUAAAACGAUAACAAGCUGCUGAGAUUGACAAAAAGGCAAGGAGUACCAUAAACUUGAGUUUUGGAGACUCGGUGAUUAGGGAAGUUGCAAGAGAAAGAACAGUGGUUGAUCUAUGGGCUAAGCUUGAAAGGGUGUAUAUGACUAAAUCAUUAGCCAACAGACUUUACAUCAAGAAAAUGAUGUUCACACUAAAGAUGGCUGAAGGACCAUCUCUCGAAGACCACAUUGAUGAAUUCAACCAAGUCUGUAAUACACUGGAAAUAAUUGAUGAAGGUUUAGAUGAUGAAGGUAAAGCAUUGCUUCUGGUUAGUUCACUUCCAUCCUCAUAUUCAAACUUUGUUGCACUCAUGUAUGGGAGACAGACUUUAUCAUUGGAUGAAGUUAAGGCUGCCCUGAAUACUAGAGGGCUGCAAGAAAAGUCAGGGAAUAUGAACUCUGGAGAAGUGUUGGCAGUAAAAGCAAGAACUGAUAAGUAUGAUGGGAAGAAAAAGAAGCAAGGGAACAAUAAACAAAAUACUAAAGGCAAGAAAUGUUUUCAAUGCCAGAAAGAAGGGCAUUUCAAGAGAGAUUGCCCAGAACUCAAGAACAAGAAAAAAGAAUAAAAUGGAGCUGCUGCUACUGCUGAGAAAGAGGGGUAUGAGUCAGCAGGAGUAUGUAUGGCUACAGAGCAUGUGCAAAAAGGUACCUGGAUUCUAGAUUCAGGUUGUACAUUUCAUAUGUGCCCCUUUAAAGAUUACCUAUUAAACUAUCAUGAAACUGAUGGAGGAAACGUUAUGAUGGGUAACAAUGUUGUUUGUAAGAUUGUGGGGAUAAGAAAUGUAAACUUAAAAUUGCAUGAUGGAACAAUAAAAGAGUUAAGGGAAGUUAGGUAUGUUCCUGAACUUAAAAAGAACUUAAUAUCUCUAGGUAUGCUUGACCAAAUGGGGCAUAGCAUUAAGCUUUAAUCUGGUGAGUUGAGAAUUUCAAAUGGAGAUGGGGUAGUUAUGAAAGGUUACAAAAGAAAUGGGGUUUAUGUUUUGAAUGGGGAAGCUAUAACUGGUGUGUCAGGAGUGUCAAUCAGUUCGAGCUGUGAUAACACUUUGCUGUGGCACCUUAGAUUAGGACAUAUGAGCUUGAGAGGUCUGAAAAAAUUACAGAAGCAAGGGGUUCUAGGCAGCAGUCAAAUCUCAGAACUGGAUUUUUGUGAAGACUGUGUACUAGGCAAAGCUACAAGAAAUAGCUUUGGAAAAUAAGUUCAUUCAACAAAAGGCAUCCUUGAAUACAUACACUCAGAUUUAUGGGGACCAGCACAGAUAAUUUCACUAGGUGGCAACAUUUAUUUCUUGUCUUUAAUAAAUGAUUAUUCAAGGAGAGUAUGGGUUUAUGUCUUAAAACAUAAGGAUCAAGUAUUUGGCAAAUUCAGAGAGUGAAAAUCCCUGGUUGAAAAUCAAAUUGGAUUGAAGGUGAAGAAACUCAGAACUGACAAUGGUCUUGAGUUUUGCAAUCAGGAGUUUGAUAGCUACUGUGCAGAUCAUGGCAUUGCAAGGCAUAGAACUGUAAGGCUGACUCCUCAACAAAAUAGGUUAGCUGAAAGAAUGAAUAGAACCCUGAUGGACAGAGUAAGAAGCAUGAUGAUCCAGUCACAACUUCCCAAAGGAUUGUGGGCUGAGACUCUGUUAACAGCAAGUUAUCUGGUAAAUCUAAGUCCCUCUGCAGCAUUUGACUUCAAAACCCCAUUUGAGAAAUGGCAUGGAAAACCAGCAGACUAUAGCAGCCUCAAAGUAUUUGGAUGUCCAACUUAUGCACAUGUGAGUCAAGGGAAGUUAGCUCCAAGAGCCCUUAAAGGAAAGUUCAUUGGGUAUCCUGAAGGUGUUAAGGGAUUCAAACUGUGGUGUACAGACCUUAAUCCCCCCAAGUGCAUAAUCAGUAGAGAUGUAAUAUUCAAUGAGAAAGUUGUACUGGAAAUAAAGAAACCUACUGACACAGAUGCACAAAAGGAUAAGGAGAGAACCAAGAUUCAGUUUGAGGUGGAGCCCUUCACCAGAGAAGCUUCAGAAGAUAAAGAUGAAUCUUAUCAAGGAGCUACUGAUCAAGAAACUGAUCAUGUAAAACAGACUGAAGCUCAGUAUCAGGAGUACCAGCUGACAAGAGACAGAGAAAGAAGGAAAGAGAAAGCACCUGUCAGAUAUGGAUACGCAGAUCUGAUAGCCUAUGCAUUGACAGCAUCUCAUCAAAUUGAUGAUGAUGAACCCAAGAACUACAAAGAGGCUAUCAAGGACCAUACAAAGAUGAGUGGAAAAAGGCCAUGGAUGAAGAAAUCUAUUCACUGAAGAAGAACAAUACAUGGGAGCUGGUUAAAAGACCUGCCAACAGCAGAACAGUAGGAUGUAAAUGGAUCUACAAAGUCAAAGAUGGACUAACAGAUACUGAACUUAGAAGAUUCAAAGCUAGGUUAGUACCUAAAGGUUACACACAGAGGGCUGGAGUGGAUUUCAAAUAUGUGUUCUCACCAGUAGUUAGACAUACAUCAAUCAGAGUGCUACUGGCUUUAACAGUUGUAAAAGACAUGGAGCUUGAUCAACUCGAUGUCAAGACAGCCUUUCUGCAUAGAAGACUAAAUGAGGACAUCUUGAUGACAUAACCUGAAGGGUACACAAGUCCUGAAUCUGCUGACUGUGUGUGUCUGCUGAGGAGGUCACUGUAUGGGUUGAAACAAUCACCCAGACAAUGGUACCUUAGAUUUGAUGAGUUUAUGGUCACUCAUGGAUAUCUAAGAUGCAUCUAUGAUGUAUGUGUUUACUACAAGAUCAUACAAUCAAGUAAUUACAUAUAUCUGCUGUUAUAUGUAGAUGAUAUGUUGAUUGCUUGUAGUGAAAGAGAAGAGAUUGAGGCUUUGAAGCAACUGCUCAAUUCAGAAUUUGAUAUGAAAGACUUGGGUCCAGUUAAGAAGAUUUUGGGAAUGGAAAUAAUAAGGAACAUGAAGAAGGGUACUAUGAUUCUGUCUCAAAUGAAGUAUCUAGAGAAGGUAUUUGGAGCUUUUGAGAUGUCAAGUAGCAAGUCAGUAGUAACCCCUCUAGCAUCUCACUUUAAGCUGUCUUGUUCACAAUGUCCCAGUACAGAUGAAAAGAGAAGUGAAAUGAUAAAAGUUCCUUAUGCAAAUGUUGUUGGUUGCAUGAUAUAUGCAAUGGUACUUACAAGACCAGAUUUAGCUCAUGCUUUAAGUGUUGUAAGUAGGUUUAUGGCUACACCUGGAAAUGAGCACUGGAAGGUUGUUAAAUGGGUGCUGAGGUAUCUGAAAGGUACACAAGAGUAUGGCCUAGUAUAUGGAAAAUCAGCUAGAAAGGUUGCAGGUCUCUGUGGUUAUGUUGACUCAGACUAUGCUGGGGACUUAAACAGAAUGAGAUCUUUAACUGGCUAUAUGUUUUUCUUGGAUGGUUGCCUUGUUAACUGAAAAGCAAGUUUGCAGCAUGUUGUUGCCUUGUUAACAACAGAGGUUGAAUACACUACUGUAACAGAAGCUGUCAAGGAGGCUCUGUGGCUGAGAGGGUUGACAACAGAACUGGGAAUGAAGCAGGAGACUGUUGAAGUUCAUUGUGACAGCUCAAGUGCAAUUUACUUGAGUAAGAACCCAGCCCACCAUGAAGAAACUAAACAUAUAGAUAUAAAGUUACAUUUCAUCAGAAAUGUAAUCUCAAAAGGUGUGAUUAGUAUGGUGAAAGUGCAUACAGAUGAUAAUCUUGCCGACGUGCUUACUAAGGUCGUAACUACAGCUAAGUUCAAAAGUUGCUUGGAAAAAACUGGGCUGAGUGAUUUCUAAAAUACUCAGGUUGGAGAAACCAGGAUCAGGGAGUGAUUUGUUCAAGGUGGAGAAUUGUUGUAUUAUGAAGCAAAUCAGUUGGUAAAAUGACCAGCUGAUGUCGCGUUUUGGAAAGCAACACACUUACUCUUUUGAACGACAUGAAUGAAGGUCGUUUUAGUUUAAGUGAUGCACGAGAGUUUCACGUGCACGGAUAAGUUGCUUUCUUGGUUCGUUAGAAUCAGUUAAUUCACAUGCCAGUCACUUGGGUUUCUGGGUUCGUUACUGAUUCGUUAACAAGCUGUUAUAUACAGCUGAUUCUGCCAACAGAAAGAGAGUGAGAGUGAGAGUGAGAGCUAUUGUGAGUUGAGGAGAUUAAAAUAAAGGCUUCUUGAAAGACUAUGUAAUCAGCUUGAAAAGCUCUCUGUAACUUCUGUGAACAAUCAAUAGAAUUGGGUUUUAUUUCUCCCGUGGAUGUAAGCUAGAUUAAAGCUAGCUGCACCACGUUAACUCUUGUUCUUUUCUUAAUUCUUUUUAGUUCUAGACUCUUUGUGUAUUCUGCUGGAUUGAUUCUUGGUGCAUCUUGCUUGUUUGAUUGUGAUCUUGGAGAAGUGUUUCGAGUUGAUUGGAUAAUUAGUCACUCUUAAACACUACACAAGCUCAACAAGCAAAUCUAAUUGAUGCUUCAUCUCUUCCAACCUGUACAAAAGUAGCGCAGUAAAGGUCAAUCACUUGUUCAAACAACUAAUAUUUGAUGGAACAUAAAUAUCGUAACACAAAUAGCCAUAGUCAAUGUUCACAGUAAGAUUAAAUUAAAGCAUUUGAGGGGAAAUAUAAAUGUAAACUGAAGUACCUCAAAACUUUGUCUGCUAAUUUUUCUUGUGCUUGGAGCUCAAAAUUUCCAAAUACUUGUGAAAACUCCAGUAUAGGUGUAAACAUGGAAUCCAAUUGGUUUCUAGAAAUCUCUUCAUUGUUUUGUUGGAAAGUUAUGGAAUUUUUGUCAUGCACAUUAUCUGCAGGAAUCAUUUGAUCAUCAACUCUUUCUUUAUCAUAUUCGGCUGUGCCUAAACUAGAUUCCAACUCACUCAUUAUUGUCUUACUUGUAGCUAACCGAUCUAGGCUUUCUCAAGUUUGCUUCUCACCGAAGUAAAAGUGGACUCAUCCUCAUCCAUCAGUUCUUGAAAGAUCUCAUGCUCGUUCAGCUGUUCAGUUUCCAUUUCCACCCAGUCAAGUUGUUUCUUGUGUUCAUUUACUUCAGAACUUGCACUUACCAUUAGAUCUCUAUCUUCUUCCAAACACUUCAAUAACAUAUCUAGUUUUUCGAUAAAACUAUCCUCUCCAUUUCCCUCAAAAUUUCCGUCUAUAUUGUUGGCGGAACUUUUGUCUUGCUUCCGGGCUUCUCCUUCCGUGAAACAUAGGCAAGCAUCUUUCAUCGUCUCACGAAAAACAAAUUCCUGUAUCUCCUAUCUAAAGAGAUACUCAAUGUUGCAAGCAUCUAUCUCUUUCUUCCACUCAUCAAUAGUUUCCCCAAAUAAAACCAUAUACACAUUCUCCUUCACAAAAUAUUCCGUUAUUAUAAGUGACUUGUCAGGAACCUCAACCUCUUGGAGUUUUGUAAAUGUGUAGUUCGCAAUAUUCACAUCUCUGAUGGUCUCAUCAAAGACAGCACGAGAAACCUCUUCUGUUAUAAGCUUGUCAAUUCUAUAGUUUCUGUUUUCAACUGAUUUUGGGGUAGGAAAAGCCAAAUCAAUCUAGAACAAUAAAUUUAUAUUUUUGGGGAGAUGGAGUACCUCACUAGUUUAUUGUGUGCGGUGCGGUGUAUCUGAAAUUCGGGGGAGGUGAGAAGGGGAGAGAGAGUGGUAACAAUGGUGAAAGGUCAAAACCAAGAGGGGUGUCCUUCAAAAUGGGUUUCACGCCUGCAAAAUAAUGAAAUAGAGAUUAGAGGUGAAGCCGGAGUAUCUCGGCGUUCACACUCCGACGCUCAAGUUAGCAAACUCAAGCUUUUAUGGCAAAGAGAGCUGGCUAGCACUCUGUAAAUUAAGGUUUAAGGUUGAAGAAAACCAAUUUUUUGAAGUGUGAGUGUUAAUGGUGAGUGAGAGCCUGAUGGAGAAUGAAACCUAUGCGCCUUUAUAUAUGGAGUACCUCAGCUGCCACGUGGCGUACCCUUUUUUGCUAACGUCCUUUUACCUCUUUAUAAUUUUUUGGGCCGUUAUUUGCAUGUUCGCGGCGUAUCUCAUCUUUUGGAAACAUGGCGCGUGCUGGAGAAUGGUCCAGGGUACUUCUGCAGUAGUUGUCGGGUAGGCGGCUAGGGACCACUAUCCUUGGGACAGUGUCCUUCACUUUUGGCAGAGGUAGCAGGCGGCUGUCCCUCCUUUUUGCACGUCGUUUUUUAUUCCUAAUUCUGACAAAAUCGAAUAAUAUCUUUUAGGAGGCGGAGACGUUUCUCAUGGUAGAUAUUUUCGGAGGAUUCUCUUGCAUCCGUUUUGCCGGGUACCUUGAAUUACGUGGGGUAUCUCCUAUUACGCGGGGUACCCCUAUUUGUAUGGGGUACCUCUAUUUGCAUGGGAUACCUCAUAUUAUAUGGGGUACCUCUAUUUGUGUGGGAUACCUCUAAUUGUGCAGGGUACCUCUAUUUAUACGGGGUUCUUCAAGUCAUAUCGGGCAUCUCGGAUUGUGCAGGGUACCUCCAAUUGUGCUGAAAUCAUUCCAUUAGUUGACACGUGGCGUUCUGCUAUCUUUCUUAUUUUUCCCCCAAACAGUUUCCAAUUUUCUCAUUCCAAUACUUGCAAAUUUCCCGGUACAGGACUGAGCAUAUAUCCUCACUUAAAGAGCAUUCAUCUCGAAAAUGUUUUAAUUUCUUAUCCAGUGCAGAGCAAAACCCCUUAACUGCCUCACUGCAUACAGUAUAAUAUAUUUCCUCUCUCAUCUGAGCCUCAAACUUGUUACUUUCAACUUCCUCUUUCAACAUCCUUAUUUCAAUUUGUAGUUCUUCAUCGGCUGCAUCAGCGACUGACCCGUUAUUCAUUUUCUUCCAGACGCCAUCCAAAUUGUCAAUGUCCGAGUUCAUUUCUUUUCUCACAUCAGAUUUCAAUAGGUUUUUUGCUGCUGAGGAUUCGUCCCAUUGAUCACCUCCAUAUUCUCCAAAAGUCUCAACCAACCUGGCAUUGCAGUUCAUUAAAUUAUCCAAUCUUACAAUAACUUCUUGGAUUCUUCUUUUUAGGCUAACCGGAUCCUUCUCUCUUCUUAAGUUUGAACACUCUUUUUUCUGGAAGCAUUUCUCGCUUCAACCAUUUAACCUCUUCACUUUUUCUUCGAAUUAUAAACUCGUGACUCUUUAUGAUCUUAGCAACAGAUUGACCAACACCCUCUUCUGAUUCUACUUCUUCAACCUUUGAGGAAAAAUUCGCACAACUGUCUCCUUCUGAUAAAGAUCUUCGCAGCCUCGGAGGAAUAUUCCUCUCAAUAUUAGUUUUGGUUGAAGAUUUUAAAUUCUCAUUCCCUUUUGCAGCUUUCAGUUGAGCCUCGUUCUGAUUGAUAAAGCUCUCAAGCUCAUUACGCAAGCACGUAACCUCCGUCAUCAAAUCUGACAAAUGCUCACUCAAGCUCAUGAAAACUUGCUUCUCUUGCUUCCUCAUUUCUAUCUCAAAGUUCUCCUUAAAAUCGUUAACAAAACCAUUAAUCAAUGUACAAAUUGCAUCCUUCUCAAUAGUCCACCUCCAUUGCUGCUCCUGGGGCCCCAGCUCAGACAAAAAAAUCGCAUUCUGCAUUUUCCCAAAAGCCUGAUGCAAAGUCUCUUUCAAAAUAUUAAUAUCAGAACCCAUCUGCUCAAUCUUUUUGUGAUCAAUACCGCCAUUCCUUUCCUCAUCAAUAACUUCAUGCUCGAUAUGCAAGACUUGUUGAUCAACUGAAUGCAUCAACUCAGAAAUUUCACUAUCUCUAUCCUCAUCCCGACUUCCAGGACUGCUCAUACUGAGCUCAGCGACACCAUCACUCUUUGUUCUUUCAAUCUCCACGUUAGCAUUUUGCAAAGCAACCAAUUCUUUUUCCUUCGCAUCCAAUGCUUGCCUAAGCUUCAACUCAUUUUCGAACCUCUCCGUCAAUUCCUUAUCCUUUUCGCGGAAAGCCAUUUCUGAAUCCUGAAGGCGACACGGGAGACGGUCUUUAAUUUCUUCCAAGUCUGCCAGGACUUUUUCAUGGCAGCUUUCAAACAUGUUGUUGUCUGCAUCCUCCUGGACAAAUUUCAUGCACCCUUCUAGCUGAAUUACUGCGAGUUCAUAGAAUUUCGAUAUCUCAUUCAAGCGCUGAAUGACGCCAUCUUUGGACUUUACUUUGCCGUGUGCUCUGUCCAUGACGCCAUCAUUGUUGCAUCUGUUAAAGAAAUUCUUAGUGUGCCUCAAGCAAUCCAAAAAGACCAGCCAUUUUUUUUUUCUUUUUGUUUGGCUCAUCUAUUGAAAAUGAAGCAAUAGAAAUGUGAAUGAGAUCUUCUAUUUUUAUGUUUCCUUGAAAAUUGGUGAUCUAAUUGACUUAUUCUAACUUGUUACUUGUUACACAUAUGUUGAAAAUGUGACCAAAAUUAUUCCUAUAUUUCAUUUAAAUACUAAUGCAUAUUACCAUUUAUGCAAAGAUAAUAAGGAAUUGACAAUUUUAGGGAACUCACGUUAAUUUUUUACCUUUUUUUAAUAGAAUUUUUUAUCAUUAAAUCAAAUAGAUUUGUUAUAAAUUUGAAGGUUAUGAGACCUUUAUUACUUGAAAUGACUGGUUUGUCUUUCGUUUCCUUCGAGAGUCCGAAAAGUUCUAAACGUUCAACGUUCAAACCAAUAUUUUUUUUUUAUUUUAACCACGAGGUAUCCUGGGGAGGGUCCCAACUAUGGGAGAUACUUUUAAGUCCGUACCAUAACUCAGACUAGAAGUCCCCGCUCGAAUAGAGAGGCACAAAUUCUCCCAAGAAAAGCGAUUUUUCUGCGACUCAAACUGGGAAGCAAACCCAAUCAAACCACUUAAGGGUGACUCCAUUGCCAGUGGAGCCAACACUUUAUUGGUAACGCUCAAGCUAAUAUAGACGGUUAAGAUGUUCUCCUCAAUUAAUUUAAAAGGAAAAUUACAGAUAAUAUGUAUGGAUUGAUGAAGGAGCAAAGGAACAUUAAAAAGGUGUAAUUAACAUUGCCAACGAACGUGCCCAACAUUAAUUUAUUAGUUGUUUCAAAUAAAGCAUCCACUUGGCAUGCUAUAAUUGGUUGUUUCCUACAGCAGCCACUACAGAUCUCAUUAAGCGCCAGAAUCUAACUCAGCGGUAGGGCGCGAACCAUCACUGCCCUUGGCAGCGCGUGAGGCUCUUUCUCUCAGCCACUCCACCACCUCUCCAGAAACCAACUCAACGUUCUGCCCAGGCUCGCCAAUCAGUUGAUGCCACGUGACUGGAUAAAUCCUCAGUGUCUUAUCCUUACUGGCUGCAUGUUUAUACAACUCUUCAACGCAGGUGGGAUCGCAAACGACGUCGUCUUCCUCUUGGGGCUCAUUGAGCAUUUUUAUACUCAAAUCCCUUGCAAAUCCCUCGACACGCGCAGCAACUCCAGUACGGUCGCCGCACACGACCUUGGCACCGAGCUCCUGGGGCUCGACAACGCCAGCUUCCUCUUCCACUCCUCCUUGAAGGAGACCAUCGGGAGAGAACCGUGGGUAGGACCCACGCGCUAGGAAGGCACCAGCCAUACGACUGUGAAGAGAAGGUGCUCGAAGGGCCACAGAGGCUUGAAUUUCUGGCUAAUCCCGCACAUGGCCCCAUCCAAAAUCAAUCCAUCCCACGCGCCCUUCUGACGGAGCGUGAUUAAAGAGCUAUGGCCCCACCCAAGGACUCGAAAUACAAAAACGCGGGCAAAUCCAGUGCGUGUCUCAGAAUGACGUAUCACAUGUUAUAUUAAUUAUUUGAGAUGAAAUUUAAAAUAAAUAAAUUUAGUAUGCUUGCUUUUGCAUAAAACCUUCUUUUUUUGUAGGGUUAUUUUGGAUCUAAUAAUUUAAUUUACAAAUAUAUUUUUAUUUUAUCAAUAAUAACAUUUAAUUUGCAACUGCUGGGGAUCUCUACUCCCUAGUGUUGGCUCGAGGAGACCUUGGCAACAACCAUAGCAACGAAUAUAUGACAAGUUUUAUCGCAAACAAUUACUUGCUAAUUGAUUUCUUCGCACUUGAUGUACAAUACAUAUCAUAUUAUAUCAAUUUUAAAGCUAUAUACUGAUAAUUCUAACAUAAUCAAAUGCAUAUAGGAGCAAUUAAUUGACAAUCAUCACACCAAUUAGAAAAGUUAAACUUGUGUAAGAAAUUUGCUGAGUAUCAGUAACAUAGUAGCAAUAUGGCAAAGUUAUGGUGAGACAUCUGUGACAAAAAAUAAGUCAAUAUUCAAUUAUUAAAUAUAAAUUAUCAUUAUAUUUUAUUUUUUUGAGGAAAUUAUUAUAUUUGGUAUUGAGGUGUUGUGAUAAAAAAAUGAUAAAGUAUGGUAAUAUGUAAUAAUUUUAAAAGUUAUUAUGACUUUUUAUUGUAUAAAUAAAAUAAACUUAAUUUUUAGAUUAUAGCAGCAAGUAUUUAUUAAUUUUUAGAUUAUAGCAGCAAGUAUUUAUUAAGCACAUUAGUGUUGGAAUUUAAAAGCUAUACUUUCCAAAAAUAAUUAAGCAGGGUGAAUACCUAAAACAAGUCUAACAUAAUUUUUUUUAUUUCUAGAAAAUAAAAAAUGCAUGUGAUAUGUAAUUUGUGAGGAUUUGAAUAUACAGAAGCAGAGGAAACAAAAGAAUUUUAAAAAAGCGAAUUGCUUUAUGAAGUAAUUUUUCUGCAUCCUUUAUUCAAACAGCUUGAGGCUUUUUAUAAGAGCCAAUUGGAAACACGCAAUCUACGCUAGUAACUGCCCUUGGAACAACAAAAGACACCCUAGACAAUAACACAUGAAAUACGAGAAAUAAUAGGAAAUAUGGGUAAUAAUAUUGCACACAUAGUUGGUAGACCACGUGUCAAGCACCCAUUUAUUUCAAAGCACUUAUUAUUAAGUCCUAGACUCCUCCUCUUAAGCAUGGCUAUCAGGUACGUGGGAAGUUUGUCAAAUGCAUGGGUUCUUGCUCGUCUUUGGGAGACAUAUCAGCAUGCUUGGAAAGAGAUACACGCAAGACAAUCAACACAAGAUUUGCUUUAUUUCUAGGAUGCAUCGGCAUGCACUCUACUUAUAGAACUCCAUAACCCAGAGAUUACCAAUAGCAAGUUCACAACUGAUUCCACCAAAACCAGCGCCAGUAGCCAGGGUCAUGAAUUCAUGCCUUGUUCUCUCCUUUCCACCGGGACUUUGAAUCAUCAUAAGCACGUCAAAAUGGGAAUUUGAUUUUGAUUCAAUGCUUGUAUUAGGAACUUCUGGAAGCAUUGACUCCACAACGAUUACCUUUCCAUCUUCUGGGAUGCUUUUGUAGCAAUUCUUCAACAACUUCAAGCAAUGUUCAUCAUUCCAAUCGUGCAGUAUCCACUAUAUAAAUUCUCAUAUUAAUCAAACUAUUGUUUGUAAAAAUUUAAUUUAAGGAACUCCUCAUAAUAUGUCCGCAAAUUAAAUUAAAAACUUACCUUCAUAAUAAUGGCAUCACCUUUUGGAACACUUUGGAACAUAUCACCCCCUACAUGCUCAAUACCUAUAAAAUAUUAUACAAUUAAGAAAUCAGACAAUUAGAAUUAUGCCACUCUAUUGUCAUUAGCAAGAUGUAUUACGUCAAGAACUGUUUGCUCAAACUUAAUUAUGCCAAUGUUAUGGAAGUUCCUGAUAUACUGGCACACACAACAGAAGAAUUAUACACACACAUAUAUGAGAGCAGGUUCAAGGGAUUUUUUUUAAUACAAUUUUACAUAUAAAUUUCUAACAAUUAGGUUAAAGUUUAUCACAUGGUUAAUAUUAAAACUGCAUGCAGUUUUAUAAUUCUAAAAAUUAAUUAACUAGACGCAAGUCCUUACGUCAAACAAUAAACGUGAAACACGAUGCUCUUUCCUCUCUCUUAUCAUCUAAAUUUAUUUAAACUCAAUAAUUUCAUUCAAAGAUUGAAAUUACACUUCAUUUCGGAGGAAGAUCUUCCAAUCAAAUUACAGGCAACUUAAAAUUAAAAGCUGCCUUAGCUAACACGAGUAUGUGUGUUGCAGGCUCUUCGGAUGAACUGAAUUCUAAAUCAGCAUUGUCCUUAAUUUCCUCUUGAAUGUCCAACAACACUUAAAAGAUUUCCUUUGCUUGACAUCAUGUUUAGGACAUUCAUAUAUUUCUCUUUUUAACUUAUGUGCUCAUCUCCUUCAAUCCUCCCUCUACUCAUUAUAAAACAUUUUUUUUUCCGAUGGCUAUUGGAUGGAUGUUACUACUACAAAUUAAAAUAUAGUACUUCCCUAGUUCUCUGCAUGUUUACUUUAGUUAUCCAUUAAAUCGAACAGUGAUUAGAUGACUAUGCUUUGUUAAUCUUUAAAAAAAUAUAUGUAGAAACGAUUGCCAACAUUUUUUUCCAAUAUUUACAUUUGGUUUAAUAAACAAAUUUAUCUAGAUAACAUCUUUUUUUAUGGCUACAUGGAUGUGUACCUUAGUUCACUGGUAAUUUAGAGGGAGAAAUAAAGGGUAAUACAAAGGUGAAAGAAAAGUAUUUUACUUUUACUAUUAAAUUUAAUAAUAUGACACCUACGCGAAUUAAUUAGUUUUUUAAAAUAACAAAAUUACACGUGAGCUUUAAUCUUAAUCCUUGGAUGAACUCUAUUAGAAAGAAAUUUGUUUCUAAAAGUAUCUUUUUUAAACUUGCCCCCAAAAUAAGGAAUCUUCUACAAAAAUAAAAAAGAAAACAAACAUUCUGAGUAUUAUCCUUAGUUUAUCCUUUAUUUUAAAUACAAAUUUUCUAAAUUUAGCAAGCAACAAACACUAUUUUCCUCCAAAAAAAUAAAUACAAAAUUUCUAAAUUUAGCAAGCAACAAACACUAUUUUCCUCCAAUUUCUAGCAUCCACCUUUGAAAAAAAUUAAAUCCAUCUAAUUUAUCUCCAAUUUCAAUUUAUUUUGGGUUAAAUUGUAAUUUUGAGGGGUAAAAAGGUCAUUCCAUUAAAUUCAGUAACGGAAAUUAGACGGAAGUGGACGAAUGCAACAAAAAGCAAACUUCAGGUAGCGCGCUGAAAAAAAAUGUGUUUGUGUAUUUUUUAAAAAGACAAAACAAACAGGUGGAUGAUUGUAAAUUUCCCAAGUCUUUUUGGACUCUGAAGGCAUUUGCAAUUACAUGAAGGUGUUAAACACAGAAGAAAUUCAAAAACAUUAAUUAAACACUGCUUCUUAUGAUUCAGCGGAAAAUAUUGGUCACAAAGACCAACUGGAGUUGAUAGUGCUCACCAUCAAUCAGUUGUUGAUGGGUAGUAACAACCUUUAAUUGCAAUCAGUGAUAUUGAGAUUAUGGGACUUUUGUCGUUUCAAUUGCAAUCCCAAAUGGGACCUAACCAUUGGCUAUAUUAUUAUCAUCGCUUGCCAAACCCAAAAGCAAAGCUGCAAAGGGCUUGCUGACUUCAAAGAAAAAGAAUUGUUUGUUCAGGCCAUAUUAGACCAUUUGCUUCGUUGUGUGAUGGCUGUAUUUUAAGACCAACAAAAUUAUAUACAUAUAAAUGUAUAGUCUUAUAUAUAUAUAAAGAGAGAGAGAGCUUUUAAUGAGGAACUCCUCAUUUUAUUAAAAUAAGUAUCAAAUUAAUAAAUAAGAAAAAUACAUAUUCAGAAUGUUUUAUCUUAUAAUAUAUUAAAGUUUAUAUUUUUCUAAUUUUUAAAGCUUAAGAGGGACUUCAGCCCUCUGAACCAUUAUUUUUUUUAAGUGUGCCCCGAGCACCUUCUGAAUGAGUUAAAUAAAAAGCAUUUAGAAAUAUUUUUUAAAUAAUAAAACACUUGUAGUCCAAUGGUAUAUGUGUUACUUAGUGGUUUUAGAGACUUGAUUCGAAUCCCAAUAAUUUUUUUGAAUGUGUGCAUGGUCCUCAAUUUUUUUCACGUUCAAUAUAAAAUUAAUUGAAGAAAAAAUGUUGGCCUAGUUAGAGGUAGGUUAUAGGUAGGUAGGCUUUUAAGAAAAGAGUAAAACUUUAUUGGCAGGACGCAAUUAGAAAACAUGGGUCCGAAACAUUUAUUGAAAACUAAUUUAAGAGAAAAUGUUGGCUUAGUUAGAAGUAGGUAACAAAUAGGUACGAUUUCAAGAAACAAGUAAUACUUUAUUUACGAGAUCCGAUUAGAAAACAUGGGUUUGAAAUACUAAAAAGAGUAUUUUUGUAUAAAAAUUUGAGUGUUAGCGAAAAUCGCCUAUCGUGACUAGUGUCUUGGUCCUUAAUUUUUUUUUUCACGUUCAAUAUAAAAACUAAUCGAAAAGAAAAUGUUGGCCUAGUUAGACAUAGGUAACAAUUAAGGUUCUAAAAAAGGAGUAAUACUUUAUUUGCAGGACCUGAUUAGAAACACAUGCCGAAACAUUUAUUUAAAAAGUAUUUUUAUAUAAAAAUUUAAGGAGUGCUAGCAACAGUUGUCCUUACAGAUGACUGAGACAGUCAUUACCAAUCCCUCUCCAAUUUAAGUGUUUGGUCCAGCCUCCGAAGAGAACCCAUGUGUGAUUAUGUACUAUGGGUGCAUUGGUACAUUGUUAUUAUAUUGUAUGUUUUGCAUUAUUUUAAUGCAAGCAUAAUGUAUUAUGUUGUAUUGCAUUAACACUGUAUUAUAUUAAUAUUGUGCAACAUUUAGUGCUAUUUGUCCUAUAUUAAUUUUUAAUUAUACUAUGUUUGGUACUGCAUUGCAUUGCAUUGCACUAUAUUUUUUUGGUUAUCAUAAAAAUUAUAUUUUUAGAAAAUAAAUAUUUACUUUUUGAUAACUUUGUCAAAAAUAUUUUAAUAAACUUUUCGAUGAUAUAUCUUUUGAAAUAAAAAUCCAAGUGAAUAAAAUAGAUAACUUAAAAAAUAUCCUAACAUAAAUAAAUAAUUAAAACAUAUAAGCUUUGUUUUUAAAAAAAGACAUAAUAGAGAUCAUUAAUACAAAAGUUUGCACGUACUAUAACAUAGUCACAAAUAAAAGGAGUUGCAUUUUUAAAAAGGGUUGCUUUGUCUCAUACAUCAAAUCAAGAUAAAUAAUUGUGCACAGAUAGAGACAAACACAACUUUCACUCAAUCCUUAGAUAGGGUGUAUUUUUUCCCAACUAUCCAAAUGUUAGUUAAUUUGUGACCACUGCUCAUCCUCGCAAUCAAGAAUUUCUUCUAUUACAUGUCUAAGAAAAAAUGUUAUUAAAUGGACAACAAAAGAACCACAACAACAUCAUUUCUAAGCAAUGUACAAAACAAAUGGACUUAUGUACCAAGCUUGGCCUACCAUGCAUGUAUGUUAUGCAAAAUAUUGCACAAUAUGCAAAAAUGUGGUUGCAUGUGUGGAAAUUUAACCACAUAGGUAGAAUAGGUGCAAUUUUACUAAGUUGGACGAACAUGCCCCAUAAGCUAUCCAGAUGUAAUGGGAUGCUGAGAUGGGUGAUGGGAGAAUGCAAAAUGGAAGCUGAUGCCAAGCAGUUGUCAAUGUAGAGUUUAUGUCAACUUAGGAGUGCUUACAAGUUCCAAAGAUGAACCAACAUAAUUUUAGUUCUAAACACGUACUGAUGUUAAAAGAAACAUGUGAGAUGAAGUGCCUCGAGAUGCUGUAGAUGUAGUGGGAUCCCAAUCAAAUGCAUGAUUUUUUGGGAAAAAACCUUCUUACAAUAAGACCACUGAAAAACUUCGAUCAUAAUAUUAUCACCAUCAUUAUUUUCCACAUUUGUGGAAUGUGAGAGUUGAUUAUGAUAAUUUUUUUUUAUCUCUGUAUCAUGUGACUGAGAUGUUGGAACAACUUUAACCAUCUUUCAGAUACAACUCAAAGAUCAGAAAAUACAAAUUGUUCGUGAAAAAAUCUGGUCGACUAUUGCGUGAAUAGGUGCCCUCGCCAACACUUAAAUUGUUAUAGAGGAGAUGGUUUAACACUACAACUUUACUGAAUUAGUAGUUGUAGGCAAAUGAACAUGCAUGAAAACCAUGUGCGAACAAGGUGGAUAAAAAAGCCCAUCUGGCCUAAGCCCGCAAGCUUUUGGCCCAUCCUUCUACGCGAGGAAUUAGAUAAGAGCUUAAGAGAAAAUGCCUGGACUAGGCCCAACACUCUAUUUUUUUUUACAAAAUAAAUUUAUAAAUU